rnacentral:lncRNA from 1 species
UUUAUAAUACUACAUCUAUAUCCUAAAAGGUAUAAUUCAUUAUAUACGAAUCCUUUUGUUUUGACUCAUAUUGUUAAAAUUAAAUUUGUUAUUAAUUUAAUAAUCCUAAUUUUAAAUGUUAAUAGUAAAUAUAUAAGAAAAUUAUACUUUAAUAACAAUCAUUAAUUUUUUGUGUUAUAAAAUAUUAUAUUUAUACCACAAAAUACUUAAUAUGUUAUUUCUUUAUUUUUCCUUGCAUUUUGAGUCUAAUGAUUAAAAAAAAAUCAUUAGUACAAUCAUUUUAUAUCCUCCUUGGUUUCAUAUAACGUAAUUAUAUAAAAUUUUAAAAUACUAAUAUAGUUAUUUUAUAUUUCUAAAUUAUCUUUCUUUACAUGUGUAGACCUAUUUUUAAACCAAGUGUAUUGGUUUAAUGAUAUCAUUUUAUUAUUACCUUUUUAUUUUUAUAAGUUGAAGCAAAGGGGGCCUUUCAUAAAGGACCUGGGAGUGGAAUUUGGUUUAUUUUUAAGCGAGGCGGGGACCUCCCUAUGCAUGAAGGCAGCCGCAUGGGACGUGUGGCAAAGAGGCAUGGCCGGCCAUGGCAGUAGUUGAGGAUGACGCACUGGCGGAGAGGUGCACAGUAGAGCUGGUAAUGGCUUGCUACGGAAGAUAGAAACAGGAGGAGAGCCAAAUAUCAGGAAGAGGACACUUUAGGGGCGAGAGGGCGGAAAGCUGAGAGAGAGGUUUUUCAUGUUCGUUUAGACAGAGAUUUGGAGGAGGUCCUUGGAGCUUCAGAGACAAGUCUUAGCCAGAGGAAAAGGAAGAGGAAGGAUAGCUGGCUGAUUUCUUGCCAACCUAGCUGGAGAGAAUUAUUUCGAGGUAUGCUUAUUGUGGAUUCUUCAUCAACUUCUAUUGGUGUGCUUUUCUACUCUGUUUUUACUGAUUCUUGGAUGAUAAUUUCUGAUCGAGAGUGAGCACAUUCAUGUUUUGCUGGUGGUUUUAUUGUAGAUUAGUUUGCUUCUGUUUUGAUUCCCCCAUGAGAUAUGUAACCAUGUUCUACCUUUUGUUUUAUAUUUGUUUGAUUUCGUCCACCCUCACAUGAGCUCAUUGAUUGAUACUUGAGAUGAGGCUUGUAUGGGUUCAUGUUUGGUGCUCUGUUCUACUAUUUUCCCUUGUUCUGGGUAUUCGCCUCACACUGCACGUUAAUGUUCCUAUCUCUACCUGAGAAAACUAAGGUACAAAUGCAAAGGGUGACAGUUGAUCAUGCUGUUGAUUUGGCUGUUCUGGAAAAAUAAAAUGAACUUUAAAGUGAUCUGGAGAAGGGUUUGAGAUCUAAAAAAAAAAAAAGUUUUUGCCCUUGGAGUAAAAUAUGAAGUUGUAUUCACCUCUCCCAUCCAUCUUCAUGCAUAACCAUACCCAUUCCUCAUGCCCAUUCUCUGUCCAUGCGUAUCACCCUUCCCGUUUCUCACUCACAUGCUCUCUCUCUCUACACCACAACCAUUCUGUCAUACCCAUCUCACCCAUCUUGCAACUCGCCACCUCAUCACUCACCUCUCCCGUCCAUCCCCAUGCAUACGUACCCAUCUCUCAUGCCCACCUCCAUGCAUACCCAUGUCACCCAUCUUCUAUACCCCUCACCACCUUUCCUCUCUUUAUCACCACAUGCACCUCCCAAGCCCACCAUGCCCAUAUUUCACACCCAUUGAACCCAUGUUUCUCUCAUCACCCCUCAUCCUAUCCCACACGAGCUUGCCACCUUCAUGUGUUCACUCCUCACUCAUACAUGCAUGGAACCUUGCAUACCCGGCUGCCCACCAUACCCAUGCCAUGCUCAUCUCCAUAGCAAUCCCAAAGCCACCCCACCUACAUGCAUGGGAAUCAUGCAUGCAUGGCCACCCCCCACGGUUGCCGUUCAUCAACACAUACCCAUCCUUUCAAACCUCCAUACUUACCCAUGCUCAUUACCACCCUCAUACCCAUGCAAACUCUCCACGUUUGUAUACCUUAGCCCUCAUACCCAUGCAAACCUUUCAUGCUCACAUACCCUAUCCAACAUGCAUGGCCACCCUCCAUGGACACUUUCACUCACCACCCAUCCCUCACCCGUCCAUCUCUCACCUUCAAUACCCAAUUCCCUCGUUUUCUUCCUCACCACCUUUUCUCUCUCUACACCACACCACAUGCCCCUCACCACCUUUUCUCUCUCUACACCACACCAUGUGCCCAUCACCACCUUUUCUCUCUCUACACCACAUCAUAUGCCCCUCACCACCUUUUCUCUCUCUACACCACACCACAUGUCCAUCACCACAUCUUCUCUCUCUAACCCUCCACUCUCCAUACCCGUUUUCUCACCACCCUUCCUAGUCCCGUGUCCAUGGACACUUCCAACUCAUUCCCUUCACUUUUGCAUGGCCAUGCAUGGCCAUGUUAAUCCCCAUACCCGUUCCCUACCCAUGCACAUCUUCCACACCCAUAUAUGUCAUCAAUCCUCUCUAAACCUUCUCAUACCCGUCAAACAUCUUUCUAACCACCUUUUCUCUCUCUAUAUUACCACCCAUGCCCAUCACCAAGCCCCGACCUUCUCUCCGUCUCUAUACCCAAUACCAUGCUUUCGGAGUUGGUUCAUGCCGCGGGUUUCUUGGGCUUUCUGGAAGCUGUUGUGAUGAAUAUGGAAGACCCACGUGAAUGGCACCUUAACCAAACUGGGCAUCCUUAAAUCUUGGUGUACAUAUAUCAAAGGCCCAUGAAGAUGAAUGUUUAUUGGGCCAAAGUUGGGCAAUGGCUGCCAGGGUACUUAAGGCCCACGAAAAUGAAUGUUGGUUGGACCCAUAUCCAACCUUGGGCCGUAUCCAAAUGCCCCACCUUGCAUGGUCAUCCUCCUUGGCCCAUCUUCAAAGUCCACAAACUUUAAAAAUUGAUUAUUGAAAGGCUUCUAAAUAAUUCAAGUUCACAUUUUUUUUUCUUUCAUCUUUAAAAUUUUUUAGGCCCUAAAUUCCAUCUCCCAAUUUCCAAAAUCCCAAAUUUCCAUAUUUAUUUAUUUAAUCGUCGCUAUUUUCAUUAUUAUUAGUAUUAUUUUAUUUAUUCCAUCCCUAAAUAAUUCUUCGAAUUUCUAAAUCUACAAUUCCAAUUUUCGCAAUUAGUUAUCUAUGCAUUAUUAUUUUCGUUAUUGUCACUAUUCCAUCCAUUUAUUUAUUCACUUCAUUCGUUUAUUUAAAAUUCAAAUUUCUUUUUUUAAUAAUUCUCCCAAUUUUCAAUCUCUAAAUUUAAUUUCUUAAAAUCCCAAAUUUUGCGAUUAUUUAUCCAACCAUCAUUCUUUUUGUUGUUAUCACUAUUCCAUUCACUUAUUUAUUUAAUUAAAAUUUCAUCCCUGAAUAAUUCUUCAAACUUCCAAUCUCCAAACUCGAUUUCCGAUAUCUAAAAUUCUAUUUUUCGUAAUUAUUUACUUAAUCUUUAUUAUUUCGUUAUUAUUAUCAUUUCAUUCAUUUAUUUAUUCACUUCUUCAUUUAUUUAAAAUUCCAUCUCUAAAUAAUUCUUCAAAUUUCCAAUCUCUAAAUUUGAUUUCCAAUUUCGAAAAUUCUCAUCUUCAUAAUUAUUUAUCCUAUCAUUAUUAUUUUAAUUAUUCUAUUCAUUUAUUUAUUCAUUUGUUCAUUUAUUUAAAAUUUCAUCCCUAAAUAAUUCUUUAAAUUUCCAAUCCCUAAGUUCAAUUUCAAAUUUCCGAAAUCCUAACUUCCGUAAUUAUUUAUCCAAUCAUUAUUAUUUCGUCAUUAUUAUUAUUCCAUUCAUUUACGUAUCCACUCAUCCACUUAUCCGCUCAUUUAAAAUCCCGAACUCUCAAAUCAUUUUCAAAAUUCCAAUCUCGUUUAAAUUUAAUUUCUAAAAUUCUCAUUCUCACGUUUAAUCUCUAAAAAGUCUGAUAUUCAAAUAAACUCUAAAACUCCAAUUUUCCAGUGAUCUUUGAGAUUCCAAUUUUUCAAAUAAAUUUCAAAAAUCCAAUUUUCCCUCAAAUAAUUUUAAUUCCGCUUUGGUUUUCAAACGAUCUUAUGCUCCUCUUGAUUUUAAUAAGCAUGAACAAAUUUUUCGUAAUUCCAGAAUAAUGGAAUCUGUGACAUUAAUUCAUGCAAAAUAAACGGGCUUUGGUGGGGGCCCAGCAUGGGUGACUUUAUGAUUGAUUGAUUGUUUGAUUUGAUUAUUAUACAUGAUUGAUUUAUCUUACUCUCUGACAUGCAUGAGAUUAUUCCUAAAUUGUGCACUAACCCUCUCUAUUAAUAGCACAUGGUGGCUCAUUGCCCAGGUAUGUACCCACUUUCCCUCUAGUCGUUGUCUAUGCGUGUCCCGAUUCCCACAUGUGCACGAUUUAUUCUGGGUAUUUAUUGAUUUACCCAUCCAUUGUCAUGAUUGCUUCAAUUUUAUUAGUAGAGACCCGACUUUAAGGACUUAGAGGGGUGCUACGAUUUUUACUGUACCUUCCCGAUAAGUAACCUGACCCCCGAAUCUGAUUUGAUUUUUUGUAGAUCGCCUUUUCCAAAAUAAGGAGUCACACUUAAUGUUUUCUUUCUUAUUUUGUUUACCCUUUUAAAAUAAAACAAAAAUAAGUGGCGACUCCAAGUCAUUUUUCUUAAUCAAUAAAAUCAUUUUUCAAAAUAAAAAUCGAGCUUGUCAUCGAGUGGGAAACGCAUGAGCCGAAAUACGGGGUCCACAUAUGUAAUAUAUAUGGUACAAUCAUUUUUUAUUAUAAAGGAUUUUAUUAGUGAAAAUUUUUAUUUUUAUUUUUAUUUUUUAUUUUUUUUGGAUGUUUCAUAAUGCAUUACCAUCAAAGUUACAUGAUCUUAAUAGGUAAAAUAUAAUAAUAUAAAAAAAUAGUUAUUUUGAAGAAAAAAAUAUUUGAACACAAAAAUUAUAUUAAAAUAAUUUUUCUAAAUUAUUAUUUUUUUGUGAUAAUAAAAUAAAACUUAUGAAUACCAAAACCCUUUUUCACAUUUUCAAAAGUCUUUACAAGUUUUGCGGGAUUGUAACUUGCAAAUACACUAAGAUGGUCGAACAUGACUUAAUAGUAACUCAUAAGGGCCCUUCCAUUGUGGAGUUAUUUGAACCUCAAUUUUUUUGUUGAGUUGUACUUAGAUGGAGGAUGAUGAGACUUUCUCUAAGUUUUAUAAUAAACUUGGUGACAUGUUAAUUCAUGUUUUAACCUAGAAGAAAUAAUCCCUAAGUCUAAGAAAGAUUUAAACAUAAAGUAACUAUUACAAAAGAGAGUAAAAAUAUGGAUUUUCAUGAGAGCAUAUGAAUUUGUAAGUUUUCUCUCAACCUAUAAGAUGAUUGUACCAUCUUCUAAGAUAUAUUAAGAGAUCUAAAGGGGCAGAUGGCCACAAAUCUUUGCUAUAAUUAAAAUACAAAAACUUUAAUACAUGGUAACUCUGUUAAGAUAUGGACUCACAUAUCUCACAAUAAUUCAUGAUUAAGCUAUUCACUUCUUCAAUUUGUUUUCUGUUCGUUCAAGAGUAUGGGCCACCUAUGUGUAGAGCCCAAACGCCAUCACGAGCCUUAGAUAAUGGGCCUAAGACUCGUGAGGCCCAAUAGCCCAAUGGGUAUGGUCCCUAAGGCAGGAGGGUAUAAAAGGUCAAGGGUCUGUUCAUUUUGAAGAAUCACAUCUUUUGAAUAGAACAGAACCAUAAUCUCUCCCGCUUCCCAUUGCCAGAGAGAAUCCAGUAACGGUGGUUACCCUCCAUUAGCCUUAGAAGAUCCAUAUCGUAUUCAGCAUCCACAAUGGACUUAGGUAUGUUUGAUUCACGAAUGAAGAAGACACGAUUGAUAGAAUAAAUGAAUUGAUAUAUAUAUAUAUAUAUAUAUAUAUAUAUAUAUAUAUAUGUAUAUAUCCUGUAUGUGUUUUGGUGUUAAAUGAAGAAGACAUGAAGUUACAACAAUGGUAUCAGAGCAUAGGUUCCCAUUUUCCCCAAAACCACAUUCAAGUUCUUUCCGUUGCAUGUUGCAUUGGGAAUCAAACAGAUCCAGGACCCUUUAAAGGAUCCUAAUUAUAUCACAUAAUUUUAUUCAUUUUGAAGUAUGAAACAUGAAUUACAAUGGGGCGCGUUUCAGGCACGGUGAUGGUGCGCGUUGCAGCCGCGGCUUCCAACAUCUUUCUGGGGGAGCGCUUCAGGCACGCUGUUGGCGCGCGCUUCAGGCCCUUCAGGCCGCGCCGUUGAGGCACUGCUCAGGCACCGCCGUUGAGGCGCCAUACCAGGCACCAGUGGAGGCACCGUCUAAGCGCCAGUGGGGGCGCCGUCCAGGCGCCAGUGGGGCCAUUGUUCAGGCGGCGUUUAGCACCGUUCAGAGCGCGGUUCAACCAGCGCCAUUAAGGGACGCUUCAGGGUACCAUUAAGGGGCGCUUCAGGGCGCCAUUCCAACGUCUUUCAGGGCCACGUUUGCAGGCGUCGCCACUGGUGCGCGCUGCUGGUGCUUACGCCGUUGGUGCGCGCCUUCAAAGGGAUCGGAAAGGUGCCGUUUUCGACACCGUUUUGACCCCCCGUUCAGGCACAUUUAAGCACGUCGCUUCAAUUCCUUUAGGCGCCACUUCCGGCGCUGUCCGCAGCGCCAUUAAGGCGUCUCCCUAGACGCCGUUGGGCGCCACUGCCGGCACCUCUUCCGGCGCCGUUCAGGGCGUGCUUGGGGCACCACUUUAGAAGCCGUGCUGUUGGAGGCCAACGCCAUGAAUGGCGUUUAUAUUAAAAAAAAAAAAAAAAGAAAAAAAAAAAAAAGAAGGAAGAGGUCCACGGGGCUUGAACCCGUGACCAUGGAUUAGCUACUUAAUCAAUUAGGAAUAGUCCUUGAACCAUUGGACUAAAGCCCAUAAUUUGCAUUUAUGCUUUAAUUUAUAUAUAUAAAUGUAUAUAUGGAUAUGUACAUGAGUUUAUGCAUAAAUAAUUUUGAUUAAAUUAUUGUUUGUUAUAUUUAUUUCAAAAUAAAUAAAUUAUGUAUAUUUGUUGCCAAAGUAACAUAUUACAUAAUUUUAUUUGUUUUUGAAAUAUAUAAGCAUGGUAUUAUUGUAUAAAAUAAUCAACCCAAAGGAGGAUUAUUUUAAUACAAUAAUAAAUAAAGUAAUCAUAAAUAUGUGACAUAUAAAGUUUACCUUACAUUCGAUAUGUUAGUCCAAAGACAAACAUAUUAUUUUCCGUUUUAUUGUCAAUAUUUAUGAAUUAAUAUUGAAAAAGAUGCCAUUUACAAGUUGAUAUUUCUGUCCAAAGAUUGAAUAUUGAUGUUUGUGCUAGGUAUCUUGUUAAAUGUCCACAUGCAUAUAUAUGUUAAAUGUUUAUUUAUUCAUGUAUGUAUGAUGCUUAUGUGACUGAUUGUGAGCUUUAUUAUUAUGAAUUCAGCAUCUUCUAUAUCUGCAAAUGUUAAUAACAUUCCUGUGCUUAACGACACAAAUUUCAAGAAAUGGAAAGAACACGUUAUAAUUGUGCUCGGGUGUAUGGAUUUAGACUUUGCAUUAAGGGAGGAUCACCCUUCAGAUCUUACUAGUGCCAGCACUGUUGAGCAAAGGUCUACUAUGGAAAAAUGGGAGCGGUCCAAUCGCAUGAGUCUAAUGAUUAUGAAGCACUCAAUUCCAGAAGCAAUAAGGGGUGCAAUACCUGAGGAAACCCAAGCUAAGGCAUUCUUGGACCAGAUAGCAAACCGAUUCGCUGCAAACGAAAAGGUUGAGACAAACACUAUUCUUAGUAAGCUUGUCUCUAUGCGGUAUAAAGGGAAAGAGAAUAUCAGGGAGUACAUUAUGGAAAUGUCUAAUCUUGUGACGAGACUCAAGGCACUAAAGUUAGAGUUGUCGGAAGACAUACUCGUGCACUUGGUCUUGAUCUCUCUGCCUACACAAUUUAGUCCAUUCAAAAUCAGCUACAAUACACAAAAGGAAAAAUGGACUUUGAAUGAGCUUAUUGCUCAAUGUGUGCAAGAGGAGGAGAGAUUGAAGCAAGAAAAGAUAGAAAGUGCUCACUUGGCUUCCACAUCUCAGGGAUUUGGUACCAACAAGAAAAGAAAGAGGGACAAUAAAGGAAAACAAACUGCAGUUUCUGGGACAUCAAAGCAAAAUGAGCAAAAGAAACAAGAUAAGGAGAUCACUUAUUUCUUUUGCAAGAAGACUGGUCAUAUGAAGAAGACAUGUACCAGAUACGCUGCUUGGCGUGAAAAAAAAGGUACACUUCUCAACUUUGUUUGUUCAGAAAUUAAUUUAGCUGUAGUGCCUACUGACACUUGGUGGAUAGAUACGGGUGCAACUACUCACAUAAGUGUCACUAUGCAGGGUUGCCUAAGGAGCCGAAUGCCAACUGAUGGUGAAAGAUACAUCUAUGUGGGAAAUGGCAACAAGGUUGCAGUCAAGGCUAUUGGUCUUUUCAAAUUACAGUUAGACUCUGGAUGUACUUUGGAUUUGGUAGAGACUUUUGUAGUACAGUCGUUUAGACGAAAUUUAAUUUCUGUUUCUUGUCUGGACAAAUUUGGAUAUUGUUGUUCAUUUAGAAAUGGAAUGGUUAGUCUUUAUCUAAAUUCACAUGUUAUUGGUACAGGUAGUCUAACAGAUAAAUUAUACAAAUUGAACAUAAAGGCCACUAAUGGAAAUGAAACCUUGCAUUCAAGUGAUUAUGGCAUUAAGCGAAAAUUAAUAACUGAGAAUUCAUCAAUGUUAUGGCACAAGCGUUUGGGUCACAUUUCAAAUCAACGGAUUCAAAGGCUUGUGUCAGAAGGAAUUCUUGAUCCACUUGAUUUCUCAGACUUUCAAGUCUGUAUAGAGUGCAUUAAAGGUAAACAAACAAAUAUGAGGAAAAAAGAUGCCAAUAGGUGCAGUGACGUCUUGGAAUUGAUACAUACGGACAUUUGUGGUCCAUUCCCUACAACUUCUUGGAAUGGACAACAAUAUUUUAUCACUUUCAUUGAUGAUUAUUCUCGCUAGGGCUAUCUUUAUUUGAUUCAUGAGAAAUCUCAGUCAUUGGAUGUGUUCAAGAAUUUCAAAGCUGAAGUUGAGAACCAACUAAGUAAGAAAAUAAAGGCCGUCAGAUCUGACCGUGGAGGUGAAUACUAUGGUAGAUAUGACGGAUCAGGUGAACAACGUCCAGGGCCAUUCGCCAAAUAUUUGAUGGAGUGUGCUAUCGUUCCUCAGUACACCAUGCCAGGGACUCCAAGCCAAAAUGGUGUAGUAGAGAGGCGAAACCGUACUCUUAAGGAUAUGGUAAGAAGUAUGAUUAGUCAUUCCACCUUACCAGAAUCACUUUGGGGCGAAGCCAUUAAAACUGCAGUUUAUAUUUUGAAUAGAGUACCAAGCAAAGCAGUAGCCAAAACCCCAUAUGAGUUAUGGACUAGCAAGAAACCUAGUAUUAGGCACUUGCAUGUCUGGGGUUGUCCAGCUGAAGCUAGGCCUUACAAGCCAAAUGAAAAGAAAUUGGACUCCAGAACAGUGAGCUGCUACUUUAUAGGGUAUUCUGAAAGGUCGAGAGGUUUCAAAUUUUAUGAUCCCUCAACUAGAUCCUUCUUUGAAAUGGGCAAUGCUAAGUUCAUUGAGGAUGUUGAGUUAAGUGGGAGAGAGCCAUUAAGAAAGGUGGUCUUUGAAGAGGAAUCUAUUAAUAUUCCUAUUAUUACGACUGGACAUGGUCAUAUUAUGUUUGAUGACACUAUUCAGAAUGUACAGUCGAUAACAGGGAUUCAAGACACACUUGAGAUUCCUCCUACUCAAGUUAUGGAACCGAUUCAAGUUCAUCAAGAGGUAACUCAACAACCUCAAGAACCUCAAGUACAAGUGCCACUAAGAAGAUCCACUAGAGAAAGGAGAAGUACAAUUUCAGAUGAUUAUGUUGUAUAUCUCCAAGAACAUGAUUUUGACAUGGGUCUGGAAGACGAUCCAAUUUCAGUAAGUCAAGUCAAACAAAGUUCUGAUUCUGAAAAGUGGAUAGAAGCCAUGGAGGAUGAGAUGAAAUCAAUGAAAGACAAUGAUGUUUGGGACCUAGUAGAGUUGCCUAAAGGUGUAAAACCGAUUGGUUGUAAAUGGAUUUUUAAAACCAAGAGGGAUUCAAAAGGCAAUAUUGUUAGGUAUAAGGCACGCCUAGUUGCAAAAGGUUUCACUCAAAAGGAAGGCAUUGAUUAUAAGGAGACCUUUUCACCAGUUUCAUCAAAGGACUCCUUUAGAAUCAUCAUGGCACUUGUAGCUCAUUAUGAUUUAGAGCUACAUCAAAUGGACGUUAAAACUGCGUUUCUUAAUGGCAACAUUGAUGAGACAAUAUACACGGUGCAACCGGAGAACUUUGAGUCUAAUGAUUCAAAGCAACUUGUAUGCAGAUUAAAAAGGUUCAUAUAUGGUUUAAAGCAAGCAUCCCGACAAUGGUACUGAAAGUUUGAUCAGGUGAUUACUUCAUUUGGUUUUAAGGAGAACACCGUUGAUCAAUGCAUACAAGUUCAGUGGGAGCAAAUUUAUUAUCUUGGUGUUAUAUGUUGAUGAUAUUCUACUUGCAAGUAGUGAUGUGGGACUUUUGCAUGAAACCAAGCGAUUUCUAUCUAGUAAAUUUGACAUGAAGGAUCUUGGUAAUGCAUCUUUUGUGCUGGGUAUCCAUAAGGAUCGUUCAAGAGGUAUACUUGGGUUAUCACAAAAGGCUUACAUCGAUAAGGUGUUGAGUAGAUUUGGCAUGAGCAAUUGUGCACCAAGAGACGCCUGUAGCAAAAGGCGAUAAGUUUAGUUUGCACCAAUGUCUGAAAAAUGAACGUGAGAAAAAGGAUAUGGAGAGAUUUCCCUAUGCCUCGGCAAUAGGAAGUCUCAUGUAUGCACAAGUUUGUACGCGUCCGAAUAUUGCGUACAUUGUUGGAAUGUUAGGCAGAUAUUUAAGUAACCUAGGUAUGGAUCAUUGGAAAAAGGCAAAACGGGUUAUGCGGUAUUUACAAAGAACUAAAGAUUACAUGCUCACAUAUCGUAGAUCAAGUCACUUAGAGAUCGUGGGAUAUUCGGACUCCGAUUUCGCGGGAUGUCUUGAUAGUAGGAGAUCCACUUCAGGCUACAUCUUCAUGUUAGCUAGAGGAGCAGUUUCAUGGAAAAGUGUUAAACAAACACUUAUUGCUUCUUCCACCAUGGAGGCAGAAUUCAUAGCCUGUUACGAAGCAUCAAACCAUGGGAUAUGGCUACGGAAUUUUGUCACUCAGUUACGAAUAGUGGAUGGGAUUGAGAAACCGUUGAGAAUCAACUGUGAUAAUAAGGCCACAGAAUUAUAUUCUAAGAACAACCGAAGUUCGUCAAAGUCCAAACACAUUGACAUCAAGUUCUUGGUUGUGAAAGAGAGAGUUCAGAGUCUUCAAGUAUCGAUUGAACACAUAAGCACAAACUCCAUGAUUGCAGAUCCACUCACUAAGGGUUUGCCACCUAAAGUAUAUCAUGAGCACGUUACACAUAUGGGUGUUGUACACAUUGAUGAUGUGCCAGUAUAGUGGGAGUUUGUAUUUAGAUUUUGUGUUUAUUCUCUUGAUGUGAUAUUAUGUUGUGUUAUCUGUACAGACCUUGAUUUUAAAGACUAUUGUAUUUGAAUACUCUAAAUUGAAAUGAUGACUUUCAAAAGCAGUUUAGCAUCAAGUGUUGAAAGUGGAAUUUGACUAUUUUUAGUCAUAAAGUAGGACCAAUUGGAAAUAGACAUAUUAAAUAUCACAUUCUAUGUAAUUUCCAUGCUACACAUCCAUACUUGAUCCAUGUUGCUAAUUUUUGUUAAUGUUGUGAUCAUUGAUGGGUCUAGUUAAAUUAUGAUUAACGAAGACCGCUUUAAUCCUAUGUUAACAUAAUUAGUAGACCGGAUUGUUUAAGGAUAUUAAGAUAGAAUAGCAAGAUGAGUUCAAUAAAGUACUAUCAUGAAUAUUGUUUUGUAAUAUAUGUGGUCCAAGUGGGAGAUUGUUAAGAUAUGGACUCAUAUAUCUCAUAAUAAUUCAUGAUUAAGCUAUUCACUUCUUCAAUUUGUUUUCUGUUCGUUCAAGAGUAUGGGCCACCUAUGUGUAGAGCCCAAACGCCAUCACGAGCCUUAGAUAAUGGGCCUAAGACUCGUGAGACCUAAUAGCCCAAUGGGUAUGGUCCCUAAGGCAGGAGGGUAUAAAAGGUCAAGGGUCUGUUCAUUUUGAAGAAUCACAUCUUUUGAAUAGAACAGAACCAUAAUUUCUCCCGCUUCCCAUUGCCAGAGAGAAUCCAGUGACGGUGGUUACCCUCCAUUAGCCUUAGAAGAUUCAUAUCGUAUUCAGCAUCCACAAUGGACUCAGGUAUGUUUGAUUCACGAAUGAAGAAGGCACGAUUGAUAGAAUAAAUGAAUUGAUAUAUAUAUGUAUAUAUCAUGUAUGUGUUUUGGUGUUAAAUGGAGAAGACAUGAAGUUACAACAAACUCUGACCAAGAAAAAUCAGAGAUAGGUGUAGGGACCCCUCCCUCCGAGACACGUGGCACGCAUCUUACAGUGACACGUGGCACGCAUUGUCAUCCGGGUCAGCUUCAUCCGGACCUUCUCAUAAAGCACACAUGGCACGCUUUUCCGGACUACUUCAAGGAAGAUCAAACGACACUUAUAAGCACAUCAUCCGGACGACUUACACAAUACAUCUGGAUGAUCAAGGACUACCUCAAGGAAUACCAAACGGCACUUAUAAGCAUAUCAUCCGGACCAUUUACACAAUGCAUCCGGAUGAUCAACAUAGGUCGUUCGGAUACAAUGGUCCAGACCAUUGACUAAAGUAUAGCAAGUCUUACACGCUAUCACGACAACCAGCCAUGACCCACGUCCCAUCACCUGCAGAGUGAAAGGACGGGUUGAAGUGACAAGUCACUUCCCGCGAUCAUUCUACAUGAUCACUUCCCACGAUCUCUAAACAGCAGCAUCACCUACCACGGUUUCUGACAGCCGCCAGUAGGGUGGCGAUGACCAUGCUGCCGCCGAAUGUCAUCAUGACAAACAUAAAAUAUCUCCUCGCCAUUAAUGAGAGGAACAGUACUCCUGGCACUAUAUAUGAACCUUCGCACGAAGAAGAAGGUAAUCUCCAAAUACCUAGAAAAAGGCCAACUGAUUUAUAUCUCCCUCUCUAACCAUGGCUAACAAAACCAUCGGAGGGUGCGUCCGGACACCCUGUCCGAAUGCCUUUUUGCAGGUAUAACGACUGAAUCAAGAACCUUUGUGUGUUGAGAUCGUGUCUCCAUCCAUUUGGCUACUACGUGGAAUACCAGGAGCGCGAGGUAUCAACAAUAGGGUUACCUCGAUUUUGUAGUAUUCUAGGUUGUUGUCCUCUAUGAUCAAUUUGUAUUCAAUUGUUUUUACAUUAGAAAAUUUAAUUAUUUAAUAGAGAUAAUAAAACCUAAUUAAAUAAAUAAAAAUAAAUUACGGAUAAAGAUUUCCUAAGAUAAACUUAUUUAAAUUGUAAAAUAAUUAUUGAUUUUUAAUUCAAUUAAUCAAGAUUAAUCGUUCCACAAUCCAACUUCGAGUAUUAGCCUUUAACCUUUAGACAAAAAAAGGGAAUAUAAUUUAAUUAGUCUUAAGAUGAUUAGAAUGGAUGAUCUAACAAAACUUGACUUCCAUAUCUCAAAGUUGAUACAUAUCAUAAGUUUUAUUAUUUUAUUUCAUUUUAAAUUACCUAAUAGAUGAAUGGAGAUGAAAUCUAUAUUUAACUAUAAGAUUUUUAGACUUUUACCACUCUAUGUUAAUUUAGCUAAUGGUAGAUAACAAUGACAAAACCUUAUAUAACUAUAGAUAAAAAAUUACCAAAAAAAUCAUAAUAUCAAGAAAUGUGCAAUUAUAUAUCUCUCAAGUCAAACUAACUUUACUAGGUAUUUUGAUUUCAAUAUUGAUACCUUAACCUUUCAUUCAUUUUAUUAUUAGUUUGCUUUCACCUAUUAUUUCCCUUUUGAUCUAGUCUUAUGUUUUCAUGUUUUACUUUUGCUUUUUGUAGGAUGCAUGAGUGGAGGAUGUUUGGAAUUUUUUAAAUGAAAGGAGGAAAGGGGGUUGGAAUCGUUGUUUCUCUAUAGCUUUUCAUGAUUAGGAGGUGGAUUGCAUGGAGAGAUUUCUAGCAUAUUUGCAACGUCAAAGAGUGUGUAAGGAUGUGGAAGAUACAUUGCUUUGGUCAAUAACAAAGAAUGACAAGUUUAUUGUUAAGUUCUUUUAUAAUGUUUUGGAACUAGAUAUUGGCGGGCCUUUUCCAAUGAGUAGCAUUUAGCUUUCUUAGGUCCAAUCUAGAGUUUGCUUUUUAACCUAGAAGGUAAUGUGGAGUAAAGUUUUAACUUUGAUAAACUUUGGAGAUGUGGAUGGUCUUUAGCAAAUAGGUGUUACUUGUGCCAUAAGCUUGAAGAAUUCAUAAAUCAUUUGCCUCUUCAUUGUAAAAAGGCAAGGGUUUUUAUGAGAUCUACUUUUUGCACUUUUUAGGGUAUGUUGGUUGUUUCUUUGUUGAUUAAUUAAAAUACAAUUAGGAAUCAUAUACAUAUCUUCUGAUUAUGUAUUUGCAAUUUUUUAAUUCACCUCAUAACUUUUGGUUAUAAGGAUUAUACAUAUUUUUCUUAACUUUUGGUUAUGAAAAGUUUUUUAUAAAUAUCUUUUAGCUAUUAAGUAAUUAGAAUAUUUCCAAUUACCAGCUUGAUUAUAUGGAAUAUAAUUUACAUAACUUUUGACUAUGAGAAAAAGUAAAUAAAAAUUAUAAUAAUAGAAUACAAUGCAUACUACUUUUCAUAUUUCAUUUAAAGAAAAUAAGGCUACAUACCUAUAAGAAAUUUUAUAGAUGAAUUCUUAUCUUUUUUCUACUUACUCAAAGAAUCGUGCUCAUAACAUAUUGUAAAAUAAAAUAAUGAGAAGAAGAAAAGAAGAGAGAAUAAACAAAAAUACUUAAAGAAAAGUAUAUUAUUUCAUCUCCUCCUUUUAUAUAGAUUUAAGAAGAGAUUUAUAUAAAUAUGGAUGAUAAUCCACAAGUUUUCAAUUCAAUAAAUUCUUAUAUUUUAUAAUAAUUUUUUUAUAUUGAUUAUUUUUUUAUAAAUCAAAUAAAAAAAAUCACUUUUUGGAAAAUGAAAAAGAGUUUGAAGUUCUUUUUUUUUUUUUUUUUGUAAAUAAAUUUGUCAAUAUCAUUUUCCUAUUAAAAAUCAUUUUUACUAAUUGAAUUGGAUUUUAAUACUUGUAAAUAAAGAUGCAUAAAGUCUUAUUUUGCAAUAAAACUAAUAAAAAUCACUUUCAUUGUAAAUAAAAUUAAAUUGAAGUAUAUUUUUUAGAUAAAUUUUAAAAAAAAUAUUUUUCUAAGUGAUUUUUAAAAAUCACUUUACUUAAGUAAAAAUUAAAUUAAAAUAUCUUUGUAAAUAAAAUUGUAAAGAUUCAUUCUUUUUUACCAAAAGUAAAUAAAAAAUUAUUUCUCUAGUAAAUAAAAUCAAAUUGUUCUUUAUAUAUUUACAUUUAAUAAAUUCUCUUAAUAAUAAUAAGUAAGAAGGACUUUCUUGAAAAUAGAAAUUGACUACAAAUUAAAUCAAAUCAAAUUACUUAUUGUUCAUAAGUUGAAACUUUUUUUGUAAGUUAAAAUCACUAACUUAAAAUUGUUCUUUUAAUGCAAAUAAAUUCUUUCAAAAUUUCUUAAAAUUGCAUGGUAACAUUUGAAUUAAUAAAAACCAUUUUUUCCAAUUAAUCUUAUAAAUUAACUUGUGUAAUUCCUUUACCAUUGUUGUUUAUUAUUAUGAUUUAUUUUCGGUAUUUAUGAUUAAUUAAUUAAUUAUUAUAAUUUUUUUUAAUCACUUAGUAUAAACUUUUUUUUUCUUUUAAGGCUUCUCAAUAAGUAACCUGAUCCGAAUUUUGACUUGAUUUUCAUGCACAUGUCUUUUCCCUCCGGUAAAGGUAACAUUAGAGUUCCAAAUUAAUAACAUAAGAUAUCAUAAACAAUUAGAAAGUAAUAAUAAUACUUAAAGAAAAUUUCCAUUAAAUCCAAUGCCCCAUUUUUCAUUGGAUUGUUGGAAAAGAAAUAGAAAUUAUUUAUUUUAGUGGGCCACCUCUAUUCUUUACGUACAAGGAAAUUCCACCAAAUUUCUUUCACAUAUUUUGGCGGAGAAAUAGGACCGGCAGAGGAGCUUUGGUUAUUGGCCGUACAAGCAUGUUGUCUCUGUCGUCAAUCUCUCCUCUCAAAACCUCUCCCUGUCGCACCCAUUUUCCGCUUCCUUCUCACCACCGGUAGUUUUCUCUCUCCCCAAGCACCAUAGUCUCUCUCUCUCUCUUUGUGUAUAGAUUGAUUUGUUGGGUUUGCUGAGUCUGUUGUGUAUGGUUAAGUUUUGAAUUAUCUGAUUGCAGGUCUAAUUCGUUUCUUUCUUUUUGUUGGGAUAAUUGGGGUUGGUGAUAAAAAAGAGGGGAGUGGAUAUUCUUUGUUCAGUUUGUGUGUGUGGGUGAUUGUAGUGGUGAUUAGGACUCGUUAAAACGCGCAGUUUCUUUAAUGGGAGCUCAGAUUUUGAUUCCUGCCAAAAGGGUUUUGUGGGAAGUUUCUGAACAUGAUGAAAAUGCGAAUCCACUUGGGUUCGAACUAUUUGAAAUGGAAUAGUAGAAGAAUAUUAUGUUGUAUUUGAAGAGGGUUUUGGGCAGAAAGUGAAGGAUUUGCGUUUUUUCCUUUUAACUGGUUCCUUUAUCUGGAAGUGAUGGAGUUCGUUAUAGAAAGGAGUCGGGAGGGGAUUUAUAGUCACAUGUUUGAAUUUUGUGGGGAAAAAGUGUAAUUUGAACAGAAUUCAUUUUAAACCCUAUUCAGUUUUUAUUUUUAUUUUUUUUAACACUAAUGUUUCUUUGGAAGUGUGAGCAAAAGGAAAGAAAAUGUCAAGAAAAAAUGGUUUGAGCUCAAUGAAGUUUUCACCCUUCUCUAAUUUUGUUCUCUUUUUAUAUAAACAAUAAGGGAUUUGAAAAUAUUUAAGUUUUUAAGAAUUUCUUUCCAUUUCAUUUUCCUUCAUAUUUUCCAUGCACUUCAAAUAAAAGAAUUUGUGAUUUCUGUUUUUUCCCCUUUCCCUGUUACUUCCUGGGAUCCAAAUGGAGCAUUAUAAAUUUUUGAUUCCAUUAUUGGGAAUUGAUAAAGAGUUUGUAAUGAAAAGGAAUUGGGAAGGGAUAGAAGGAUUUGCAUACAAGUUAAAUCCAUCUUAAAAAUGGGGGAAUUUUGAUGGCAUUUGUUUUUCUGUUUUUCCAUGUUACCUCCUUGUUCUAUUUAUCUUAUUUUAUUUUAAAUAAAUAUCAAGAGCAAAAGGUGUCUUACGGUUAGCUUUCUAUGGGGAAAAUAUAGGAUUCAUGGUAAGGUCAUUCUAUGUAUCUGAUGAUCAUGUAACUGAUGGUUAGAGGACGGUCUAGAUAAUGUUUAGACAAGGUAGGUUUCCACUUGAGGCUGGGAAGUGGACAUUGUAUUUCACAAACUUUGUGGUAUUUGUACUGGGGAGCCGAAGGUACUGGUUUGAGGCCUCUAGAGGACUUAGGCAAAUUCUUUUAAUUUUUGUUGCCAAUGUUGCAGUUUGAAGAUCAUAAAGGCCGAACUCCUUGAUACAAUUUAAGGUUUUUAGUUGGUAUGGCGAAUUUGGGUUUCCCGCUUACAUUUUAAAUGAUGUACAAUUUAUCUUGUUAAUAGAGGCAGGACUGUUGUCAGGGAAAAAAUUAAAUGUAGAAAUAAUGAAUUGUAUUGAGAAAUUUUAUGGUAUUAUAUUUAGAAAAUCUUUUGCUUUUGCAUCACCCUUUACAGCACUUGAAAUAGUCACUUUCCGUGAAUUCUACGAGUUUGACUAAAUGAGGGAAUCAAUUUUUUCUCCUUUUGUGGGAUGCAAAUCUUGUUCUUCUGGUAUUGAUCAUUAUUCCAGGAAUAAUAGCAUUACCAUCUUUGCUGCUAUAAUGAUACACAGUUCAUUCAACUUGUAGUUGGUUGUACUCCUUUCUCACUCAAGUAAGCAAAGAGUAUCUUAGAGGGGAUUUUAGUGGAGGAUGCUUAGUCUUCAUGAACAACUGGUGAAAUUGAUACAGCUUCCUUUUCCUUUUUCCUUUAAAAAAGAAGAAAUACCAUCAUAGAUGGUGAGGGCUUGGUUGGUGGAACUGAUUUGACUACUUAAACAAUAUUAUAUGAAUGAUGCAUGCUCUAACUUGUUUAUGUUGCAACUUGCAUUAGUAGCCUUGAGAUCUGAAACAACUUGUCUGAGUUGGAAACAACUUAAUAGGAAGGGCACCUAAAUGAUUUGGGCUAUUGUUUGUUCUUUUAUUAUAGUGUCAUUUCUUAUGCUGUGGGUAUUAUAAUUUGAGGCCAAGGGUGAUGAUGAUGUUAACGCAUCCUCUACUCUAGUUAUAGCUUUUGCAGGUUUGGUGUAAGAAGCAGUUAUGCAGAAGCAGGGGUAAAGGGUGACUCAAAAUCUGCGACUAUAGAUGUCGAGGCUGAUGUCAAGUCUGAACGGGUAUGAACUUGCAGGACUUAUUUUAAUUUCUUCAUCAUCAGGGAUUAUAUUAGAAGAUGAUUUUUUUUCUAGAAGAUGCAACUUUCACCAAUAUGCUUCUCUUAGUAGGUUGUAGUCUUAGGGGGCAAUGGUUUUGUUGGUUCUGCGAUAUGCAAGGCUGCAGUAUCCAAGGGGAUAGAGGUCACAAGCCUAAGCAGGUGUUUAAAUUUUUCAAUCUAAAAUGUCAUUUAUGUAUAUAUCUUCAUGAUUUUUAUAUUUUCCUUCUUAUUUUGCUAAUAUUUUAGAACCAUGUUAAUGAAUUUUUGUUUUAAAAUUUUUUACUGCAUUCCAAUUGUAAUUUCAAAGUUUAUAGUUUUAAUUUUCAAAAUCUGAAACAUUUUCUUUCUGAAAUUUUCACAGAUCAGGGCGUCCUUCUCAAUCAAGUUCAUGGGUUGAUCAGGUUAAUUGGGUAACAGGCAUGUUCUAAUCUUUAUUCUAUCUCGAAUAUGUUUUGUUAUAGCUCAAGUAAACUUAAUGCAAUAAAAGAUGUUUUAGUUUUCUUUUUAUGGUGAAGUAGUUUGUUUCUGGAAAAUGAUUAAUGUUUAAUAUUGAAAGUCAAGGUCUUUGUUUUGGUUUUCAGGAAAUUUGUGCCCUUGGAAAUAGAAAAUUAAACUUGAGUAUUCUAUUUAUGAUUGUUGUCUCAUUACUUAUUGUACUGUGAGGAGUUAAUCACACUAUGAGUAGGAGGACUAGCUUGGGGAUGAAACUAACUGGUAGUAUUAUAAAUUUUGAGUAUAUUGUUUUAGGCAUGGUUAUAAAUAUAUUACAUAGCUUAAAUUAUAUUAAAAGCCAUAUGUUAAAAUUUCCAUAUUUGGUUGAUUUCUAGCUAAGUUUGUUGACACCAUCUCAAAGUGGAAGCUGUGCCAAUUAGAACUUUAAUCUAAUGCCAAUUAGAACUUUCUCCAAUAGGAGUUAAACUUCACAAAUGAAGGCCUGUCAGGCUUCUAGCAGGCUCCAAUACCAAUCACAACUUUUGGAGGCCUCUUUUUCUUCUUUUUCUACUACUACUACUACUCCUACUACUACUAAUAGGCUCCAAUACCAAUCACAAUUUUUGGAGGCCUACUACUACUACUACUACUACUACUACUACUACUCUUCUUUUUCUACUACCACUACUACUAAAACAAAUUGGCAUAGUUUAUAGUGGGAAAAGUAGUGUCCACAUGUAGAAUCCACUCUACAUGAUCAAGGAGGUGAAGGUCUUCUACAAAAGAAAUCAACCGAUACUACUAAAACAAAUUGGCAUAGUUUAUAGUGGGAAAAGUAGUGUCCACAUGUAGAAUCCACUCUACAUGAUCAAGGAGGUGAAGGUCUUCUACAAAAGAAAUCAACUGAUCUGCUUUCUGCUUGGCUAAAUAGUCCAUAGCUUGGAUCAGCUGAGAUGGACCCAAGAAAAAUAGCAUCCCAGCUUUCUAGAUAUGAGAGUAGAAUAUUCAUUAUCUUUUUAUCUAAGCCUAACAAUAAUAUUUUUGAGGGUUUAAACUUUAAGAUUUCUUUCUCAUUUUCUUCUUUCUUCUCUUACAUGUUUUUCUUUGUAUAUUCUCCUUCCUCUCUUUGUUAUAUUUUUAUUUUUUAUUUUUCCCCGAAAUUACACCAUCUUUCACUACUCUUACAUUUACUGAGGAGUUUUGGGCCUCUAUCAAGUGCUAGUCUGGCAUUGAACAAUAUUAUGAGCAAGUGUAAUUAGAUUUUAUUAUAUGCAAUGCAGAGGUGUUUUUUUGUUUGGCAUAUUUACAAUUAUUUUUUUAAUAAGAACUUUAUAAUUUUUUUCUUGAAUUUUUUUAUAACAUGAUGAUUUUUUAUAUGUUAUUUAAUUUAUUUUUUUUAGAAUUAAGUGUCUUAAUGAGAGCUCAAAAAUAGAAAAAAAAAUGCUUAGUAUUAUUGACAAUAUCCAUGACUGCUGGUUUUUGUGGAAAGAAGUUUUUCAAAGCUAAAAUUAAUAAACUCUUGUCUCCCAUAUAUUUUGAAAAAAAUAUUGCUUUAAAAUUUGAUACAUAAAAAUAAAUUUUAAAUACAUUUUUUAUUGUAAAAAUAAAUAACUUCUACUAUUUCCUAUUAGUCUACAUAUAUUUUAAAGCCUUGUAACUUCUACUACUUCCUACUAAUCUACAUAUUCUUUUAAAGCCCCGUUUAAACUUUUGCCUUAGGCCUCAUGCAAUGUUUGCUGGCCCUGCCCAAAGGACUGGUUUUAAUGUGAACAGAUGUGAAAAUAUUUGGGAUUUCUCAUCUUGGAAGAGUCAACUAAUAAACCAUCAGUCUUGCCCAUUCCAUGGUCAGCAAAACAAAUCUUGUCACUGUUCCAGAAUUUAAAGCAAUGAUUUUAGUCGGAGAUGGGAGUUAAGUUGCACCCUAUUAUUUUGUGCUGUCAUGGCUUUAAUCUCUCAUAAUGCCUCAAACAUGUGUCAACCUAUCUUCUCAUGGAAGAUGAUCAUGGUAUUCAUUGUACAGGUCUGAACUUGAGCAGCAAUUUGCCUCUGUUACUUGUUAGGGGUCUUAGGGCUGUUACUAGGACCUUUGCACUCAUUUUUAAUUUCAUUUUUUCUUCUACUUGUAGCUCAUUGAUCUUGUCAUCCUUGUCUUCGCUAAAGCUAUGUCAUAAAUACGUCAUCACUUGGUGUUUGAUCAUUUGGCUUUGUAAUUUGUUUUCUAGAAUUUACCUCAUGUCCAAGAAAAUGUUAUGACUGACAAUCACUUUAGCACAUAGCUAAGGGAGUGGACAAUUUUGUCCUCAGAUUGUCUUUUCUUGAUGAUUGAGCAUGAUACUGAAGGUUUUCAUUGUAAGUUUUCUUUUCCUUAGUGUGUCUUUGCCCCAUAUUACAUGUUGGUCUUUUCAUUAUUGGAUUGUAAAUGGGAAGUUUUAGGCAAUUUUUCCUGUUAUACUGUAAAAUAAAACUGCAAUAGACCCAAAGAAAAUGGUACAGUAAUAGACAACAUGCAGACUUAUACUCUAGUCUCUCUUCUAAAAUUCUGCAUGCAUGGGUAGAAUUUAAAAAGGGCGAAGUUAUGUCCAUUCCUUAUUUAACCUGAACAGUGCCAUCCCUUAAUAAGACAAUUAUCAUAUAACUCAAAACUGGCCAUUUAUCAUCGUGGUGCACAUCUAACACAAAACGUGUGCAAGUUUUGGGGCUCUUUUCUAAUCUUUAACUUUAUGUUGCAAUCUGGCACUUUUGGUGUCAUUUCUUGAGGCUAGUGGAUAAAAUCUAGGACUCUUAAAGAGUUUUCUGCUUCUUGUGGAGAAAAGUUGGGAAAAUGGAGGGCGGCUGACCAGAUAUAGAUUUUAUAGUUUUAGGUUUGUUGGACAUGUGAUUUAGAAUCCCAAAAACUUAAUAGGGGGUGAACGAGGCACCAACCAGAGAAGUGAUCAACAUGAGAAAUGGAUGGAUGUAGCUAUAAUUACUUGCAUGGAAAAUACUAUUCUGGACUCUACUGAGUCUUAUUCAUAUUUUUGUAUUUCUCCCUGACACAGAUUGUUUAAAUCUUCUUUGUAUUAUGCAGGGGAUGUUUUCUAUGUAAAUUGGGAUGAAGUGCUUGUUGGGGCAACUGCAGUUGUUUCAACCCUGGGAGGUUUUGGUAGCGAGGAGCAAAUGAAAAGAAUUAAUGGCGAGGCAAAUGUUUUGGCAGUGGGUGCUGCAAAGGAUUAUGGUACGCCGAUUGGAUUUUAAUUUUCAUAGAAACUAUAAACUAAAAGUAUCUUUACAGCUUUUUCUUUCUUGGUGAUGAACCUUUAUUCCUUUAUAUAUCUCCAUACAAAAAAAAACAAGGUUCUCAAGCUUGAUAUAUUCAAAAUAACCACCCUGAAAUUUACUGGGAUCUGUUAUUAGAAGUGGAGGGAAGAAAGAUGUACCAGGAAAAAAGAAAAAAGAAAAAAGAAAGGAACCUGAAAGUAUGAUUUUAAUACUCAACUCAACACAACAAAGCCUUGAUCUGAACAAUUGAGCUGUGACCAUAUGUUUUACAAGGCUGUUUUAUUGAGUCUCAUCCUUUAUUGAGGCUUCAGACAGGCUGUUUAAAACUAAGACACUAUGGUCAUACCACUAAAAAUUUAUUCAUAUAAAUUCAAAAUCCUAAUUGGAGAAUGGUGGAAUACCAAUAUAAUUAUUUAGGUUUGACUUUUUCAAGAACUUUCCAAAAAGAUUAAAUUUAUUUUUAUAAGAGGAGGUUCCUUCUUUCCAAAGAUUGACGCAUGCAAAAGGGGGUCCCAACUUUCUCUGCACCCUAUAGCAAGGUUCCUUCAUUUUUUGCUUGCAAAGUUAAUACUUAUUAAAGGUGUGUUUUGUACCUUGCAAUUCACUUAGGUGGUGUUUUUUAUUUACUCCAUAGCUUUCCAGUGAAAGGUGAUCCCAAUUCCUCCCACAUUUGGACUAUAACAGAAAAAACUGCAAGAAUGUUGGGAACUUUGAGAGGUCGCUUCCAAUAAUGUAGCCUUCUCUGUGUGUUCACUUGCCAUGAGGCAGGACUUGUUUUAAACUCAACUACCAAGAUUCACAUAUGUAGCUACCCUUAUAAAAGGACCAAAUAUUAGGUUACCAAAAUAAAGUCAGUGUACCUUAAGCUGUUGUCCUUCACGAAACUUCAUGUCUAUCAUAACCACAAUGAUAGUCUUCAUUUUUUCCGGGGGGGAGGUGGUGGUGGUGGUGGUGUUGUGCCAAGAGAGAGACUAGCUUCAAAUUCAUACCAAAUGCCCUCAAGGAUUUUUCUUCAAGCCACAUUCAGGAUUAUGCCCAAAGCCUACUAAACUGUUACGAUUUAGCACAGACUGCAUUAGUGGCAAACAAAUCAUAUUUUUGUGAUUGUAAUUGUUAGAUAAAUUGAUGGGGGGUAGACUUGAACCCAGGACCUCUAGUUAACUAGAGCUUUGAUACCAAGUAAUAGAAUAAGGACUAGGAGAAGAGAAUGUGUUUCAUUUAUAUAUUUUCCAUUCUUUUAGUAAUUAGAAAAUAAUAAAGUAGUAAAUAUUAUGUACUGCAUCCUUAUAAUAACCCUAAUACUCAAAUUACAAUCAUACAUUUAUGACUAAUUUUAAUAGUCCAUAUUGAAGUCUUGAACUUUUUAAAGAGUAGAGGAGAACCACAGAGCCCUUUUCCAUCUUUACAUUCUUGGAAAUUUUUUUUUUUUUUGAUAGACAAAGAGACAAUUAAAUUAAAACACACCAAAACAGGGGGCGCUCCCUAUGUACACAGACAGUAUACAAAGAAAGCCAAACCCUAGGCAACAAAGGAGAGAAAAAACCUAGAAAGAACAAAGUUAACCAACACCCCAAUCACCCAACAAGUUCAGAAAAGAGAGAUAGUCCAAGUCCAUAAACUGUUGAGACCACUCCAGAAGAGACUGUAGAAAGAGGUUCCUCAAGCUCGUAUCUGACUUCUCUUCCUCUUUGAACAUCCUUCGAUUUCGGUCUCCCCAAAUACACCAAAACAGACAAAUAGGCGUCAUUCUCCAAACUACACUCAUUUUCUUCCCUAGGCCCUUAAUUUUCCAUUCAAGAAGCAGAUUUCUCACUGAGCCCGAGAACACCCAAUCACCCCAAAAGAAGAAAGCAACGAAGUCCAAAGCUCCCUUGUCACCACAAUGGAUUAGAAUGUGGUCCGCCGAUUCCUCAUUCUCUUUACAGAGAUUGCAUCUAUUAACCAUAGACCAACCCCUCCUUAUUAACAUAUCAAUUGUAGAAAUUUUACCCCAAACUGCUUCCCAAGCAAAAAAAAUGGGUUCUCAAAGGGGUAUACGAACCCCAAACCUCCUUUGCUGGAAAUAAGGGGCUGUUCUCCACUUUUAAAGACCUAUAAUAAGAUUUAACACUAAACUUUCCUUUCUUCUCUAUCUUCCAAACUAAAGAAUCCUCCCCUUCUUGAACCUUUACUGCAGAAAUGUGAUUCAGCAAACGAUUCACCUCCUCCAAUUCCCAAUCUUGAAAGGAUCUUCUAAAUUGCACCUCCCAACCCCCUCCUUGUCUCCCCCAAAGAUCGGCCACUACAGCAGAAUUGUGGGUUGCAAUUCUGUAUAGAAAAGGGAAGAGAUCCUUCAGCUUAGACUCUCCUACCCAAAAGUCCCACCAAAAUUUAGAGCAUCUCCCAUUUCCAAUACGAAUACUAGUUCUAAGAAAGAACUCCUCCCAACCCUUUCUAAUGUCUUUCCAAAGGCCCAUCCCAUAAGACUCCCUCACCUCUCUAGUGGUCCAACCCCCUUCUAUCUUGGGUAGUACUUGUUUCAUUAGAAAAGGAUAUGAUUUUCGAUAAAGUUGAUUCACACAUAUUCACAUCUAAUGGAAUUCUAUUAAGAAAAAUAAAUAAAUAAAUAAAAACUUGAGGGAAAUAACUUCAUUCUUUAGGUACAAAUGUUAUUUUCCUGGCGAGGAAAAAUCAUAAGGAGUCCUUUCAAAUGAUCCUGGCAAGGUUGGUGGAACCUAUCCAUUGGCUAAGGUAGUUGUAUAUAUGGGCCAUGUUCUCGUCCAAUGGGAUAUUGAAUUGACAGUUUCUCUCUGCCUGAUGGUAGCAUGGAAAAAGUGGAAUUGACCCACUACUUGUAAAUGCUUCUUAUAAUGUUCUCUUGAAAUAUUAGUUUAGUUAUUGGAUAAUGGAUGACAAUAAUUUUAUAGAUUACAUCAGAGGGGAGAAAACCAUAGGGUGUAUGAGAAGUGUUUUGUUUUUUGGAAUUUUAGAAAGAUAUAAAGGAGUGAAGAUUUGUUGGUUUUGAAGUAUUGCCGAUUUGAAUACUUUCCAAGUAGCUUUAAGAAAAUGUCCACCAACAAAAACCCACAAGCAACAUUCUGAGAACUAUAAUUACAUCAUUACUAUGGGAGUUUAAACUGUGAGAAAGGUGUUAAAUCAAAUUAUAAUAAUUGGUUUGAUCCUAUAUCGUGGAAGUUCUGAAAAUAUUAUAAAGAAUUUUUACACCACUAACACAUAUGUAAUAUGCAUCUGUCUAGGAGCUGUUGAUUUAGAUGAUCAUAACAGGUUUAAUUACCUCAUGUGUGCAUCUUGUUUAUUUCUGAAACCUAAAUACAAUGACUUAAUGCUCCACUUGAUAGCAGAGAAAACAUUGGAAAAGAAAUGAAAACUGAUUAUCAUAUAUGCGGUUGCUGUUCGAUUAGUGGUUAAAAUGUCAGCAGUUUUUCUUUACCUACUACUUGUCAGCCAUAAAAUGGAAAACUCUUCCAAAAGAAAUGAAUUCCUCUGCAAAUCUAACUUCUUAGGAAAAUAUACAAAAUUUAAUUUCAUAAAUCAGCAAUAUAGAUAUUUAUUUCUCACACCAGUUAGUUUGUUUAUUGUUUCUCAUUUUUGUACAAGGGCAUCUAGAUUUCAAUAUUUGUGUGCCUGUAGAAAUGAACUGUUAUAUUUUCUCUUUUCCCUUGCAGGAGUUCCUAAGUUUAUCUUGAUCUCAGUGCAUGAUUACAAUCUACCACAAUUUUUACUUGAAUCUGGAUACUUCACGGGAAAGAGGAAAGCGGAAUCAGAGGUUCUCUCCAAAUAUCCAAACUCAGGUAAUUUAUAAUUGCCUUUUCAGUCUUUGGUCAUACUCGUUCCAACUUCAAGUUACAUACCACACAGAACAAUGUAGCAUUGAUUUUGUAGUCACAGUGGUGCAGAAUCCAGUAAAAUAGGCAUCAAGCAAGACAGUUAUUAAGCAAAUUAUUGCCUGAUUGGCAGUGUGGAUCAUCUAGAGUUCUCAAAGAACUAAUGCACCUACUUGACCUGACCAAUUAGUAGCGAACAGUCCAGAAAAAGCUUGAUGAAGUGAUUUGCACAAUUCAUACCAUGUCUUUAGCAGUAUCCAUUUAGAUGAGUGUCAACCCCAACCGGCAUCAGACUUCUUUCUUUUCCUGUAUCUUUUGCACAUUUCACUGUUUUCACUGUUCUUCUUUGUAUUUGAACUUCCCCAGGUGUCGUACUAAGACCAGGCUUCAUAUAUGGGAAAAGGAGGGUGGAUGGCUUUGAGAUUCCUCUGGAUUUGAUAGGGGAACCACUGGAGAAAAUCCUGCGUGCUACAGAAAACCUCACCAGACCUUUGAGUGCUCUUCCAGCAUCUGAUCUAAUACUAGCCCCACCCGUUAGUGUUGAUGAUGUUGCACUUGCCGCGGUAAAUGCAAUCACAGAUGAUGAUUUCUUUGGCAUUUUCACAAUUGAACAGAUCAAGGAAGCUGCUGCAAAAGUGAGUGUGUGAUUAGCUUCUCUAUACAGAAUUUUACCAAGAUGAUAUUAUAGCUGUGGGUUUAAAUACCGAAUGUCUCUUGGCAUCAUUGAAAACAAACUAUUGGAGAAGACUUUGAAAUGCUUGCAGAAAGUUGCUUGCUUGUUGCAAAACCGAUAUUGACUCCAACAUGUUUCUUAUGUACAUACUUCAGCUUUCUCAGCUGAUCGUUACCUACUUGUAGUUAUGGAAAAUUUCCAUGACUCCUGUGAUUUGAUAAAAUUAAAAGGUCCUACUCUUGUAAGAAGCAGGUCUUAGACUAUGUUUGAUUCUCGAAAACUAUUAAUGAAAGAAAAAAAAAAUGCUAAGAAAAAUGGUUUUCUCAUGUUUAGUUUUAUUGUGAAAAAUGCGAAAGAAAAUCAAAUAUAAUUAAAACUAGUUAGAAAUUUAUACAUUUUAAAAUUAUUUAAUCUUUUGUAUAAUUAAAGAAAAUAAAUGGAAUGGAUUUGAAAAAACAUAUAAAAAUAAUUUAUUGAUUUUAAAUCUGUUUUUUAUUUUCCUUCACUCUUUAUUUUUUUUAUUUUUUUUUAUUUUUUUUAUUUCCUUCAAAUUUUUUGAGAACCAAACAUAACCUUAAGGGUUUUGUUGAAUUAUACUUAUUGUGAAAUUUUAAUGGCUUAGCUUAGAACAAAAUGGCAAAAUAAAUUUUGUUACACAAUAUUGUUUAAUAUGCAUUGAGCCAAUCUUAUGAUCUAAUGCUAAGUAGUAUCUAUAUCAUUUUUAAUCACUACUCCUUAAUUGAAAUGACAAUUCACCUCAAUAUGUUUAAUAUACUCAUGAAACAUAAGGCGACUUGACCAUCACAAAACAUAAUGGUAGGCUUCUUAGUUUUAGAACCUUGCUUCUUAUUAUAAAAAAAAAAAUUGUAUCCACAUGAACUCAUACAUUGCACGAGCCAUAGCACAAUACUUUGCCUUAAUGCUUGAUUUAACCAUAACUAUUGGGAGAAUCCAAGUACACUCUUUUGGAUCCAGGAAAUAACUCUCAAAGAUCUUUUUUCCUUUUGGAAGAUAGAGGAGCCAAACUAUGACCUAUUUAUAUUGGAAGAUUCAAAAAAUUCUUCCAAUGUAUCAUUUUUGGGUCCAAUGAAAUUCGUGAGUAUAGGAAGAAGUCUUGUCAAAUGGGGAUUUUUUUUUCUUUAGACCAUAUUUCAAUUGUUAAUACGAUGUAUAAGAACAACUAUUAUAAAUAAUACUACAUCCUUGAUCAUGAAAUGUUGAUUGCUUGUUAACAUUUUACUUCUUACCUUUCCGACCUACCAAAUUACUUCCCACCAAGGUGUAAUAUAGCUACUAGUAAAUCACUUGUCAAAUUGAGAAUCGGCUUGAUGGACAUCUAAAUAAAGCGGCAAUGUCAAGUUUAGGCCCUUCAUAUGCAAAAUGCUAUUCAAAUUGUUCUUUUUAGAUGUCUAAGAAUACAAAAAUUGCAUCUCAAAGAACUUAUUUAGGAUUCUCCCUACCAUGUUGAUUAACAACACCCAUAACAAAAGUAAUAUAAGUCAAACUUUGAGUUUUCUAAAAAGACUUAUAGUGCGUUUGAGAGUUAUUCUAGAAAGCGUUUCUAACAUUUCUAACAGUUGAAUGAUAAAAAUUUUCAAGUAUUAAAAAUAUUAAAAAUGCUUUUUAUAAUCACUAUCAAAUGGACUUUUAUUAUACCAUUCUUCUAUUAGCAAAAUCUAUAUUAUCUACUCUAUCCAAAUGCAUGUUAGGAUUGGUAGGGCCAAUUCUAUACUUUCUUCUAUUAACAAAAUCUAUACUAUCUACUCCACCUAAUAAAUCUUACACAUAUUUUCUUUAUGACAAAACCAACCUUUUUUUUUAUCAUGAACAACCUCAAUGCAUUAAAAAUAUUUCAGCAAUCCUACAUCUUUAAUUUGAAAAAUCUUUGAAGUUGUGUUCUCACCUCUUCAAUUUCAUAAAAAUGACUACUAAAUACAAGUGUAUCAUUAACAAGAAUUAAUACUACUAAAUACAACUAGGUCAGAAGCAAUCUCAGAUGUAGAAAGGUUUCUUAAACAUAGGAAAGAGUGAGAGCUAACAGCACCACUAGUUCAAGCUUAGGAAUAGUGGGAAAAGGAACCUGAUUAGGGGAAGACAACAGCAGAGUAUGAAGAUUCAACCCAUUAGAGAAGAAGAAAGGACCAUACUUUAAAAAUACUACUUCUAUAAGUGUCUAUGUAAAAUGUGAUGAAAACACUUGUAACCUUUUUUAAUUCUAGAAUGCCUAGGGAAGGUGCAGAUUUGUGGCUUGAGAAGAAACUUUAUCUAAACCCAUAGCCUCAUAAUAUACAAAGAAAACACAUGCAAGUACACGGGAAGGAAGACAAAGCAUUGGAUGAUUCAAAUGUAAGUUAGAAAAAUAGGGAUUUAUUACUAAAAACACUAGGGGGAUAAGUCUCCGAAGUGCCUUCAAGAAAAGAAGAAAAUGAAGCAUUUUUAUUUAUUUAUUUUAAGUUAGUUAAUCCUCAUUCAUUGCACCUCUAAGUAUGAGGUAUCACUUAGGUUUGCUAAGCGUGAGGUAUCACUUGAGUUUUGUCAAAGGUAUCACUUAGCUUUGCUAAGCGUAAGGUAUCAGUUGAGUUUUGUCAAAGGUAUCACUUAGGCAACUUAGGAUUGAAGCCUAAAGAGAGUGGACAUUGUUUAGGUUGUGUCAAACCACUAUAAAUCAUGCUUACAUCUCUUUAUCCCUUUCUUUCUUUUAUUUGUGAGUAUGUGAAUUUAAUCUUGUUACAUCCAUAGAAGAACAACUACUUGAGAUGGCUCAUGUCAUCACCAAACUAACAAAGACCAUUAAAAAGAAAGAUCUAUAAAUAGCCUCCCUCAUGAACAAGUUUGAGGCACAUACACAUGUAGUUGAGUCAAGUCAUGGAUUCACUCAACCCCCGAAGAUUGCAUCUAAAGGUGAUCCACCAAAUGUGUCUAAGCUGAUGUAGGGUUAGAAAGCAAACCACUAAAUUUGUUUUGGUGGCAUCACUAUCUAUCCAAUAACUUUAGGACAUGAUAACUAACAUUCAUAUAGUGGAUCAUCACAUAAUACAUUCAUAUACUUUAAACCUUACACUAAGAGGAUUGACAAGAUAUGUAUGCCUAUAGGUUAUCAACAUCUUAAAUUUCAAUCAUUUAAUGGAAAGGAAAAUCUAAAGCAACAUGUUGUCCACUUCAUUGAAACUUGCAGUAAUGCAAUCAUGAAGGGUAACCUCCUUGUCAAAAAAUUUGUUUGUUCCCUCUAUGAGAACACUUUUGAUUGACACAUAUCUUGAACUUAAUUCAUUGAUAGUUGGGAUUAAAUGGAGCAUGAAUUCCUCAAUCAAUUCUAUAAUACUCGACGAGCAAUAAGCAUGAUAGAGCUCACAAAUACCAAGUAGAAGAAAAAUGAAACAGUUGUUGACUACAUCAACUGUUGGCUUUUUUAAGUCUUGACUAUAGUGAUAGAUUAUCUAAGGUGUUAGUGGUGGAGACGUAUAUACAAGGUAUGUACUAGUGGCUUUCAUCCAUCCUUCAAGGCAUAGGACCUCACACCCUUAACAACAAGAGUAACUUUUCAUAUAAAAUUAUUUUACUUCUUUCUUCCUUUAUGAUCAAUUUCCUUUCCUUCUUUUUUUAAUUUUUUUUAUUUACAUUUUAAACAAUUAAUAUAAUAGUUUUAUUAACAAAACAAUAUUUGAAUUUGAUUUUUCUUACAAAUUAUGAAAAAUAGCUGAAGGUGUAUGUAUCAUUGUAUUGUAUGCAUUACUUCUUGUACCAUGUAUCAUAUUGUCUAAUGUAAGUUUUUAACAACUACGUUUAUUGUGGUAAAUGUUUGAAUUUGUAAAGCUAAUUAAUAAUCUAGUAUUUAGGAACUUCAAUCAGAUUUGGAUAGAAAUGAAAAUUGAAGUACAACAAUGGAGAAUCGGAUUUGAUCAACACUCCAAAAUCAAGUAAGAAACUUAACCUAAUCUAGACAGAGGUGAACAUGAUAGCAGUUGGAGUUUGAUGAGAUAGGUGUUGUGAAGGAUAAAAAUAGGGUAUAAGUGGGCAAUGGUGACUGGUUGUAGUUUAAUGGCAAGAAUUCCAUUUAGUGGUUGUGAAGACCUACGAUCUUAGGAGGUUUGCAUCUAGUAGGUUAGGGCUUCCAACCCUACUUUGAUAUCAUGUUGGAGAACAAAGAAUAGGAGUAGAGAAUGCUCUUUCUCUCCUAAUUUUCCUAAAUAGAAAUAAAUUUGAAGAAUCAUAUAUCAAGAUGGUUUAGAAAACACAUUUGAUAUAUACAAAAAUAAAUUACAAAAUCAUCCAUUUAUAACCUUAAUAGAGUUUACUUUGUUAUGCUUUGUAAGACAAGAAUGAAACAUGGAGAAAUUUCAGGGAAAGGCCCCUACUCAUCUUCAAUUUUCUCAUCGACCAAACAAAAAAGUGAAAGAAAAAGACAUUGGGAAAAUGCAUGUAUUACAACUAUAUCGGUUUUCCUCACAUGGGUCAAGCACCAACACAACAUUUAAAAGAAAAUUGUUUCAAACAAAUAAACCUUAGUCACUGGUGCCUAAAAAACUAUUGCAUAUCCACCAUUAGUGUGGUUUUAAAAGUGAAGAACACAACUACCUGGCACAAGCACAAUCCAAAACUAAUACUUUUCUGACAAUCGUAUUGAAGGAGUUUGAAAAAAAAAAGAAACUUCUCUCGCUUUAUCUGCUAACUCAAUGCUAUCACUGUGCACCAGCUUGGUUCAACUUCUAUGUGCAGCUUCCAGAGUUAAUGAUCUAAUGCCCAGGCCUUCAUUUUAUAUUUUUGCGUGAACAAGAUUUGACGUAGACCAUUUUGCAUCUGGUUGGCGAUCUAGGCCUCCUAACCUUGAUGCUUCCUUGCGAUGGACUGCUCCAUCAGAUACCUAAAUCAGAGUGCCAGGUUUUUGAAAGUCUAGAAGAACAAGAACAUGAUAAUCUAAUGUAAUAAAUUCAGGAUAACUGGGUGCAGUCAUUAAUAUCAGACAUAUAUAGAGGGAGGUGAAUCCUGUCAUGAUGACUAAAUGGUAAACCAAGUUUGUUGCAUGGCAUUAGCUGGAGUAAUUGCUAUUCCUUAUAAUCAUUUUAAGAAAGUAAUUGAAGUAUCAUCAUUUUGAGGAAUGAAAAUAAAAGAAAUACUUACUUGCCAGUGUAGAAGCCUGCCGAAUACCAAGCAUUCAAAACAACAGUCAGAUCUGUUUCAGAGCAGGCACUGUGUGUCACUUCACCUUCGUUUUUCUCAUCCUCUUUCUCUGGUUUCCAAGAAAAAGAAUAUGUGACACAUUAAGACACUGUACUAGAUGAAUCUCUGUAGAGCUUUCAAAGCACACAUAUGUUCUUAUGUUCUAUAGUUAUAUUAUUUAAACAAACAUAGCAUGCAAUAACAAGGUUACAUAUUUUAGGGUGCAACAUUAUUUGCUCCCUUGGGGCCAAUUCAGUCCCACAUGGUGGAAAGAUACUUCCACCUCUUCUUUUACAGAACUGCUAUCUUCACAUUUUAGUGACAUACAACAAUUUUGGGCUUCUAGAUCUCCUCAAUUUGUUGGAUCUUCAAAUCCCAAUUUUAAGGUUUCUCUCUAUUUCUUUGAAGAGUAUUAUAUCAAUGUUCGCCCCGGAUCCCAGACAGUGACACUUAGCUUUAUCUAUGCUUUAUUCUCUCAAAAAAAAAAAUCAAGAUCCAACUAAAGCAGCAAUUACAGAAGCCUGGAAAUGAGUUUUUGAAUUUACAAGUCUCUACAGUAAAUAAGGCAUAAUUUUUCACAUAGCUUUAUUGUUUUCAAAAGAAAAUUCAAGAUCCAACUAAAGCAGCUACUACUGAAGCCUAGAAAUGAGGUCUUGAAUUUACAAGCCUUAGUAAAUAAGGCAUAAACUUUCAUGUAGGCACCUCUGCAAAAGGUAAUACUUUUUUUCCUAAGUUCUACAACAUUUAUUUUAGCUUCUUUCACUAAUCUAAAUUUGAAAGCCAUCAAUUAUAACUACUUUGACAAAUAAAUAUAUAAAUAAAUAAACAUAUUAGAUGUUUAUUGUUGAUAGGGAAGAGUACAUUGUGGUCUAAUCAAAGAUAGGCUCAAGGGAUCACGAAAGGAAGACUGAGAUUCUAGUACAUUUGUAUGUUUACUGGAUUCAAAAUAGGCAAUCCAAGUAAAUGUGAUAAGAACUUAAGACAGUAAAUUGGAUGGGAUGUGACUGAAAUGACACAUGAUCUCAGAAAAGCAAACACAAGAGGGAUUAGCAAGUAAUAGUGUUUAAAAGUAGAUCAAAUGAUAGUCGGAUGUGUGUGUGUAUGUGUGUGUGUGCAUAAAUGUAAAGAGAGAGACAAAGAGCAAGAAAAUAUUUUAAAGAAUGUAUAGUAAUACAGGGAGAGCAUGUGCCAUAUGAUGUUCAUACUAAGAGAAAGGAGGAAGAAGAGUAAAGGAAAAUGGAUAUUAAAGAAAUAAGUGGUUGAACUUAAUUGGUAAAAACUAAUGAUACUUACAAUAAAAAUAGUGACAAAUGAGCGUAGAUAUGGGGGAAAAAAGAAACUACUGCUGUGUGGAAUGAGUUGACUAAUAUAUAUAAAUAUAUAUUAGAAGACUGGUAACAAGGGUUCUGGGAAACCAAAGAGAGGAGAACCUGGCUAUAAUAUUUACAUUAGUAGCCAGUAGAGGAUCAUAUAUAAUUAAAGACGAGCAUCAAAAAGUUGGCUGAAGCCCAAGUAAACAGGAAUUAUACAAAGGGAGCCAAAGGAAAAAGAGAAAAAGAACAACAACCACAUUAUCUAAAUGUGGGGGACAGGAGGUGAGUGGGAGGAGCUGUCUCAUUUGUUAUUUACAGAUGAUACGCUUGUUUUUGUGAGGCUACUCAAGACCAAAUGAUUCAAUUAAGUUGGUUUCUCAUUGGGUUUGAAGCUACAUCAGAUUUCAAAAUUAAUCUAGAAAAGAGUGAGCUGAUUCUAGUUGCAAAGGUGGACUAUGUGGAGGUGUUGGCCUAUGAAUUGGGGUGUAGGUAGGAGCUCUUGGCUUCUUAUCUAGGGCUUCCACUACACAUUCCUUUUAAACCAAUGGUGGCUUGGGAUGGAGUGGAAGAGUGUUUUUGCAAGAGGCUAUCAAUCUGGAAAAGGAAAUAUAUUUCAGAAGGAGGAGCCUUAUUUUGAUCUAGAGAACACUAUCCAACCUGUCCAUUUGUUUUAUGCCUUUGUUUUCCAUUUUGACAAAAGUUAGAAUAAGGCUUAAGAAGAUUGAAAGAGAUUUCCUUUAAGGAGACAGGGCUUUGGAGAAAAAAUUUCAUUUGGUAAAGUGGUCAACAAUCUAAGCGGAGUAAAGAGAGGAGGGGGAUUAGGCAUUGGAACUCUUUCUUUGCUUAAUAAGGCUUUUUUGUACAAGUGGAGUUGACAAUAUGCAUUUGAAAGGGGAGCUCUCUAGAGACAUUUGACUUUAACUAGGUUUUGGGCGCACCUAACUUCGACUAGACGCUGAGCACGUAUGAAUAAUCUUUUAUGCUAGUAUAGACAAUUUGUUUGCAAGGAUGAACAAUCUAAGUCAAGUUCAAGUGGAAGGCAAAUUUCUAGAUGGAAAUAUACCAAUUUGCAGAAUGGAAAGGACUUGAACACUCUCAUAUACAUAUUUUGGGGCAAAGUAACAAAACAAGGCAUAUAUAGGCACAAACAACAUUUUAUUGGUGGAUACAAAAAUAUUAAAAACCUCUAAAACAUGUUAAAGAAGAAAUGGAAGAAUAUACGAGUACAAAAAAGAGUAAAAAAGAAGAAAUAAAUAUGGAGAACCAGAAUGUGAAUGAAGAUUUGUUUGGCCUUAAAGAUAAAGAUUAUGAGAGAUUAAUAACCAUUAAUACCUCUCAUGGAGGUAGUAACCGGGGUAGGGGGAGUUAGUAGGAUGGUGCAACCUUCACUACAAAGACCAAGUAAAAAAAGUAUUAUGGAUCAUUUUUUUCACUCCCAAUCUAGAGAUGGUUGUUCAAAAUCGAGAGUGUGGAAGGGUGAACCAAACAAUUAUCAACGAUGCCUACUAAAAAGAAGCAAGAGAAAGAGUUUUUAUGUUUCUCACAAGGUAGAUGUAUGACGUCAGUAUUUCUCAUCUAAGUUUUCAACCAAUGAUUGAUGCCAUUGGUCAAUAUGAUGUUGGUAUAAAGGGACGGAAUUUUUAUGAGGUAAGAGUUACAAACCUUAAGAAAGAAUUAAGUCUUACAAAGGAUCUAAUGAAGCACCAUAUGGUAGAAUGGCAAAAAAAAAAAAAAAGGAUGUUCAAUCAUAUUAGAUGGAUGGAACGACAAGAGAGAGAUAAGAUGUUUGAAUUACUUGACAAAUGGGUGGAGCAAGUUGGUGAAUAAAAUGUCGCUCAAAGUCAUAACAAAUAAUUGCUCAAUUUAUGUGUUGUUAGGUAAGAAAUACUACUUUUUGAAUUUUUCAUUUAAAUUUUUAAAAUUUAAAUUAUUUAUCUUAUAACUUAUUCAAAUUUUUUCUCAUUGUUUACAAUGUCACAUGGGAAGGUUGUUAAAUUUAAAAUGGCCACAUUUGUUUUGGACGCCAUAUUGCCUAUUGCCUUGACUUGAUGUGAGAGGAUAUUGGAAAACCAUCCAACAUCAAGAGGACAUUGGAGAGAGCUAUAACAUUAAAUGACUAUAUGCAUAACUAUUCAGGACUACUUAACAUGAUAAAACAGUUCAUUGGACAAACAGAAUUGCUUAGGCUUGCUAAGACUCAAUUUCCAAUGACCUUUAUCACAUUAUCUAGAUUGCAUCAGCAAAAAAACAUAACUUCAGAAAGAUGUUUAUAAGUCCAGAUUAGUCAGAAAGUAAAUAGGUAAAAGAGCAAAAGGGGAGAAGUAUAACCAACAUAGUUUUAAUGCCUUCAUUUUGGAAUACCAGUGUCUUUUCCUCAAAGGUUUUUAGUCCCCUUGUUCGUGUGCUUUGUUUAGUUGACAAAGAAAGAAAACCUCCUAUGGGAUACAUUUACAAGGCUAUGAAUAGAGCAAAGAAGACAAUUAUUAGAAGUUUCAAUGAAAAUGAAGAGAAAUACAAGGAAACCUUCAAAAUCAUUGAUAAGAGGCGGGAGAUUCAGUUUUAUGGACCUUUGCAUGUUGUUGGGUACUUUUUGAACCUGAAAUUCUUCUGCCAUAUAUCGGAAAUGGGGCUCAAUACAGAUGUUAUUAGUGAUUUCAAUAAAUGCAUCCUAAGGUUGACAAGAGAUCUUCAAACAAGAAAAAAUUGCAAAAGAAGUGAGUUUGUACAUAAAUGCUCAAGGUCUAUAUGAAAAUGAAUUAGUUGUUAGGACAAGGAAGAUUGGACCACCGCUUCAAUGACUUAAUUUUGUUUAUUUAAAUGCUUAUAUCAUAUUUUUGCUAAAAUAAGUUGAUUGUUUUACUACAUUAUUAAUAUAUACGUAUAUAUUUAAAAUACAUAUACAUUUUUUCAAAGACAUUCCAAUUCUAUUUACAACCUGAUGCACUACAUGUUACAUUUUCAUAUGAAGCCAUAGCUCCAAAUUUGCAAAUGUUUGCAAUAAAAAUCCUAAAUGUAACACAUAGUGCAUCGGGUUGUAAAUAAAAUUGGAAUAUCUUUGAAAAUGUAAGCGACUAAAAUAAUUACCAGUAUAUUAAAGCCUUAAAGGUGAUUUAGAACUUUAUUAUAUAUUUCUAUGUGCUUAUGAAUUUUUUUACAAAUUCAUGGCAAGAGCAUAAAUAGGUUAACUCAUAAACACUUGAACGAUUUGGUGUACAUUAGCUAUAAUCAAGCCUUGAAGAAAAGAAACAAUGAACCUGGCACCACUGACUAAAUUUAUAUGAAAAAUAUAGAUGAUAACAAUAAAUGGUUGAUAGAAAGAAUAGACGAUGGCAAUUUUGAUGGAGGUGUAGAAGAUGAUUUUGUGUCCAAUCAUAUGAUGAUUUGACAUAGGGUGAUGUUAUUAGAGCUACGGGAGCUAAGGAAGCUAGGUUUGAUGCCAACUCUUUCAUUAAUAGUUGAAGAUGAAGAAGGGACUGAUUUAGAAGAAGAGGGUUACCAAUGAGAUGAUGGAGAUGAUGAUGAUUUUGGGGAUUUAAAGGAUGAGUGAUGACUAAUUGUUGUUGUAGAUCCUUAGGAAUUUUAUUGUGAUCUUGGUCAAUGAAUUGAUUUUGUACUAAUUGUAUUUAUUUCUUUUCGGUUUUUUUUUUCUUAGUAGAAUCUGAUCCAUGAUUUAUGGAAGAGAUUAUAAGAUAAUGGGUGGUAGGUGUAGCUUUCCUAUUUUGGUGCUUAGAGUAAUUGUAUAUAAAUAGGAUGUAUUGAUUGUGUGGGAAAACGUGAAUUAUAGUUGUAAAUUAAUGGCUUGUAUUUUGCUGUGUAUAGUAAUUAUGCUAGUUUAGGAGAGUUUGUUUGUAACAGCCAGAAUUCCUAGAAUUAGGUUAAUUUAGUUAGUUUCCUAUUUUGUUAGAGUAUCCCAUAAAUCAUGGGAUUUGAUAUAGCCUAGUAAUUAGUUUCCUUUUUUAUAGCUAAGAUUUUUCUGUAUAAAGCUAAUGUAGUUUUCUGAGAAGGAAGGAGAAUAAAAUUAUUUCCACAAUUCUGCUCUCUCAAUUUACGUCAUGGUAUCAGAGCUGAAUUAGGAUCCUUGGAAUUUUUUUUGUUUCAGCCUUCAUUGUUGAAUACAGUGCCCAAUUUUUCUUCUGUUUUUGAAACUCAAAACAGAGCAUUUGUUUCCUCUCCUAGAAUUUUCAUUUUCUUCUUGGCCUUCAUUGCCAUUCAUUUGCCUUUUUUUGCCUUCAUUGUCAAUCUGAUCUCUUGGCUUUCAACGUUGUCUAUUGUUGACCCACGUGCUUUGCUUGAAUCACCUAGAAAUUGCCGUUUUUUUUCCGUAAAAAAUGUCAAAGAUUGCAGAAACAACCACUACAGUCCAAUCAGAGGAGAUUAUUCGACCCCAACAUUUCGGAGAAUUGCAAAAUAUCCAGGCUGCAUAUAGGCUGGAUGGAAAAAUUAUCUGAAAUGGUCCCAACUUGUACGCACCGUGUUGAAAGGGAAAGGGAAGAUCAGCCAUCUCAUGGGUACAAGGCUGAAACUAGGAGAUCCUCAUUUUGAAGCAUGGGAUGAAGAAGACUCCAUGAUUAUGGCAUGGUUGUGGAAUUCUAUGAUUCCUGAAAUCAGUGACACAUGCAUGUUCCUAGCUACUGCCAAGGACAUUUGGGAUGCAAUCCAACAAACGUACUCUAAGGCGAGAGAUGCGGCCCAAGUACACGAGGUCAAGGUGAAAACUAUUGCUGCUAAACAAGGAGAUAAAACUAUUACUGAGUAUGCUAAUCAAUUGAAAUCUUUAUGGCAAGAACUUGAUCAUUACAGGGUGAUAAAGACCAAGUGUCCCAAAGAUGCUGCUAUUCUCAAGGAUUUCAUAGAACAAGAUCGAGUCUAUGAUUUUCUUGUUGGACUCAAUCCAGAAUUUGACCAAGUGCAAAUCCAGAUUCUUGGCAAGCAAGAAGUUUCGUGCUUUAAUGAGGUGGUGGCAUUAAUUCAAGGAGAGGAAAGCAGAAGAUGCCUGAUGCUUAAUCCACAGAACACGGACAGCUCGGCUAUGGUGGCUGGCAGUGGUAACAAUUCAGCCACAAAUAUGGAAAGAGUACUAGUUUCUGGCAAUGGAAGAUCUAGUCAACCAAAGACUCAAAAUCGUGACUACAAGGACAACUUAUGGUGCACUUAUUGUAAGAAGGCACACCAUACACGUGAGCGGUGCUGGAAACUACAUGGAAAACCACCAAGUCGAGAGUGGGGACAGAAGGGAGAACAACCAAGUAAUAAUGGUCAGGCCCAUGUUACAACAGUACAACAGAAUGGAGCAACACCGCAAGAGACAGGCAGUCUUAAUCAAGAAGAAGUUGAGAGGGUGAGGUCUCUUACUUGCAACCUUGACAAACCAACAGGUACUGGUUCAUUGGCGUAUUCAGGUAAGUUUCCAUUCUCUAUUGGAUUAAAUGUCUCGGAUAUAACCUUUGCCAACUCCUGGGUCAUUGACUCAGGUGCUACCGACCAUAUGACUCAUUCACCAAACAUUUUUUCCACAUAUUUCCCAUGUUCAAGCAAUAGAAAAAUAGCCACAGCUGAUGGCUCCUUGACCACUGUAGCAGGUAUAGGAGAUGUCAAAAUAAGCCCAUCACUGAUGUUAAAAAAUGUUCUUCAUGUCCCUAGGUUAACCACGAACCUCAUUUCUAUCCAAAAACUCACUCAAGAUUUACAUUGCAAUGUGGUUUUUUAUCAUAGUCAUUGUGUAUUUCAGGACGAGGAUUCGGGGAGGAUGAUUGGACAUGCUAGAGAACGGGAUGGACUCUACUAUCUCAAAACACCAAGUCAAUCAAACAUUACCAAAGGCAAAUCAUCUCAUUCUUUUGUCUCAGAAGUUUUUUCAUUCAAUAAAGAAAAAGUUUGGCUUCAUCAUCGCCGACUUGAACAUCCAUCAUUUAAGGUUAUUAAAAUUAUGUUUCCUUCUUUAUUUAAAGGUCUAGACGUCGAACAUUUUCAUUGUGAAGUGUGUGAACUUGCUAAACACAAACAUGUGUCUUUUCCAGUUAGCAAUAAAAGAAGUUCUAUUCCUUUUUAUCUCAUACACAGUGACAUUUGGGGUCCUUCUCCUAUUCCUAACAUUACUGGGGCUAAAUGGUUUGUUUCAUUCAUUGAUGAUUGUACUCGAGUCACUUGGAUUUUUUUGCUCAAACAUAAAUUUGAUGUCAGUACUGUCCUUCCAAAUUUUUGUUCUAUGAUUAAGACUCAAUUUGGAGUCAAUAUCAAAAGAUUUAGGUCGGAUAAUGCUAAGGAUUAUUUCAAUCAAGUCCUAACUCCAUACUUUCAGAGGGAAGGAAUAAUACAUGAGUCAUCUUGUGUUAACGCUCCACAGCAAAAUGGAGUGGCAGAAAGAAAAAACGGUCACCUUCUUGACUCAACCCGAUCCUUCAUGUUUCAGAAAAAUGUGCCUAAAUCCUUUUGGGGAGAAACAGUUCUUACAGCUGCUCAUCUCAUAAAUAGAUUGCCUUCUAGGAUCUUGGGAUUCAAAAGUCCAAUGGACAUACUUUCAACAUUCUAUCCAAACCUACACACUACAAACAAUCUUGUUCCUAGGAUAUUUGGGUGUGUGGCAUUUGUCCAUGUUCAUAAUCAAAACAGGGGGAAGUUAGAUCCACGGGCAUUAAAAUGUGUUUUUUUGGGUUAUUCUUCAACUCAGAAAGGGUAUAAGUGUUACCAUCCUCCAUCAAAAAGAUUCUAUGUCUCGGUAGAUGUUACUUUCCAUGAACAAGAAUCUUAUUUCACUAUUCCUUAUCUUCAGGGGGAGAAUUCAGUAAUGGAAGAUAAGGAUAGGGGGGAUUUUUUAUUCCUUGAUCUGCCAUCACUUCCCUUGUCAAAACAAUCUCGUCCCACUGAUCCUUUGAUUGAAACCUUACCUAAAUUGCCCGAUCAGCCUAAACCUGUGCCUGAAAAUCCAAAAUCUGCCCCUGAGAAUGUGAGAUUUGACAAAGUGUUUUCAAGGAAGAAGACAGUUGUCCCUGAAUCUGUGCAAGUCCAAGACUUCAACCCAAAUUCUGAGAAUGAGGUAACAAAUUCUAAUCCUUCAUUGCAAUCUGAAUCUCAUGUGAACAAUGAUGACCAGGACCUCCCUAUUGCUGUUAGGAAAGGGAUUAGAGAAUGCACAAAUCGACCUCUAUACCCUCUUACACACUUCCUAUCCUUUAAAAAAUUUUCACCAUCUCAUAGAGCCUUCCUUGUUAGCCUAAACACUAUUUCUAUCCCUACCACCGUAUCCGAGGCUUUGACCAAUGAAAAAUGGAAACAAGCUAUGAAUGUGGAGAUGGAGGCAUUAGAAAAAAACAAAACUUGGGAGUUGGUAAAAUUGCCGACAGGAAAGAAACCCGUGGGGUGUAAAUGGGUUUAUACUGUGAAAUACAGAGCAGAUGGAUCAAUAGAAAGAUACAAGGCUAGAUUGGUUGCCAAGGGUUAUACUCAAACCUAUGGGAUUGAUUACUAAGAAACUUUUGCUCCGGUCGCAAAGAUGAACACUGUUAGAGUCUUGUUGUCAUUAGCAGCUAAUUACAAUUGGGAUUUGCAGCAAUUUGAUGUCAAGAAUGCUUUUUUGCAUGGAGAACUAGAGGAAGAAAUUUAUAUGGAGGUCCCGCCAGGUUAUGACAAUAAUUUGGCUGCUCAUACUGUAUGUAAAUUAAAAAAGGCCUUGUACGGACUUAAGCAAUCACCAGGAGCAUGGUUUGGAAGAUUCGCAAGAGUGAUGAUAACCAUGGGAUAUAGGCAAAGUCAAGGAGAUCAUACGUUGUUCAUUAAACACUCAUCUUCGGGGAAACUCACAGCUCUCUUGGUGUAUGUCGAUGACAUAAUAGUGACAGGAAACGAUGACAAGGAGAGACAGGUUCUAAAUCAAUGUUUGGCUAAGGAAUUUGAGAUCAAGGCAUUAGGGAGGUUGAAAUAUUUUCUUGGUAUUGAGGUGGCUCACUCUAAGCAAGGCACUUUUAUCUCCCAACAAAAGUAUGUUACAGAUCUUCUCAAAGAAACUGGAAAGACCGCAUGCAAACCAGCAAGUACUCCAAUAGAUCCGAAUCUUAGACUUGAAGAGGCAGAAAAUGAUGCUACAGUAGAUAAAGAAAUGUAUCAACGCUUGGUGGGAAGGCUCAUUUAUCUAUCUCAUACACGACCAGAUAUAGCAUAUGCAGUGAGUAUGAUUAGUCAAUUCAUGCAUAGUCCAAAGGAAGCUCAUCUGCAGGUAGCUUAUCGAGUGUUACAAUAUCUCAAAGGGACACCAGGUAAAGGUAUUCUAUUUAAAAGGAAUGGCGGGUUAGUACUUGAGGCAUACACAGAUGCUGACUAUGCUGGCUCAAUUAUUGACAGAAGGUCAACUUCUGGAUAUUGCAUCUUUCUUGGUGGAAAUCUCGUGACAUGGAGGAGUAAGAAAUAGAAUGUGGUAGCGCGGUCUAGUGUGGAGGCAGAAUUCUGAGCAAUGGCUCAGGGUGUGUGUGAACUACUAUGGUUGAAGAUCGUUUUAGAAGACUUAAAGAUUAAAUGGGAUGGCCCAAUGAGACUCUAUUGUGAUAAUAAAUCUGCAAUCAGCAUAGCUCACAACCCAGUACAGCAUGAUCGAACGAAGCACAUUGAAAUUGACAGACACUUCAUCAAAGAGAAGUUGGAUAGUGGAUUGAUAUGUACACCUUAUGUGUCUACACAUGGUCAACUUGCCGAUAUACUUACCAAAGGGCUAAGUAGUUCAGUGUUUCAAAGCUUUGUAUCCAAGCUGGGAAUGGUGAAUACCUAUUCACCAGCUUGAGGGGGAGUGUGGGAAAACGUGAAUUAUGGUUGUAAAUUAAUGGCUUGUAUUUUGCUGUGUAUAGUAAUUAUGCUAGUUUAGGAGAGUUUGCUUGUAACAGCCAGAAUUCCUAGAAUUAGGUUAAUUUAGUUAGUUUCCUAUUUUGUUAGAGUAUCCCAUAAAUCAUGGGAUUUGAUAUAGCCUAGUAAUUAGUUUCCUUUUCUAUAGCUAAGAUUUUUCUGUAUAAAGCUAAUGUAGUUUUCUGAGAAGGAAGGAGAAUAAAAUUAUUUCCACAAUUCUGCUCUCUCAAUUUACGUCAGAUUGUAUUCUAAUUCAUACAAUUUAUGUGAAACAUAAUUUGUUUCAAGGUUAUCAUGAGAGUUGAGGGGUCUCAUUGUAAUAUUUUGUUUUAUCACAAAAUUAUCAAAGAGGAAGAUUGUAAAUAUAUUAGUAUUAGGUUGGUAAUAUUGGUCCAUUUCUUACUGUCGAUGAUGCAUAAGACUUUUAAGGGUCUUACCAGUUCCCAAUCAACUUCAAGCAACUUCAAAGUUGAUAAUUCUAGAGGUAUGUAUAUAUUUGAUGUUAUUGGGGUUUAAGGAAUGGCUACGAAGAUUACUAUGGCUUAUUUUUGGACAAACACAUGAAAAACAAAGUAGGAAAGCAGUUUGAAGGGUUGAACAUUCGAACUCCCAAAGGAAGCAUUCAAACGUCCUAAAGGAUGUUCAAAUGCUGCCCAGAGAAAGUACAAAUGUGCCCCCCUUCAACCUUCAAACAUCCCGUUCAAGCACUAGACAUAUUUUUUUGUAUUUUUCAGUCUUAUCUUUGUAAUUUCAAGGGCAUUUUUGUAAUUGAAGUUAUAAUUGUUUAAAUAAACGCCCUAGGUUUUUUGGAUAAAUGCAUAGGUUUAUUAUAUGAUGCACAAGAGAUUAGCUAUCCCUAUGGCCCUAAUAACUCCAUCUUUCAACCUUUCAACACCAUUCUUGAAAGAAAUUGUCAAGUGAUUUAGAGGUUUAGGAUUCGAACCACUUAGCCUCAAUACAAUUUUAAGGUGAUUCACUAAGGAGCACAAGGAAUGUUGUGUCUAGGAUAUGGAAUAAGAGGUAGGUGCUGACAAUACAAGACCCUAGAGACUAGGUGCAUUUGAUUAGGUAAAAUUGUAUACCUUCUUUUCAGAUUUAGCGGAUUGGUUGCAAAGAAUAGACCAUCCAUAGUUUUUUACACCUAGGGAUUUCUCGAUGGUUUAUCUAUACUACAUCAUGCAAUUGGUUAUUCUUGUGCUUGAUAUGAUUCAAUAGCUAUUUGUUAUAGAUAUAUCUGACUAUUAAUUGAAUGAUCUAAUUUAAAAUUUUAAUUUUGGGGAAAAACUUGCUUAGACUACCAAUUCAUUCCUUCCCCUCACGUUCUCUCUCGAUAGUUUCUCUUUUCCAUAUUUGUAUGCUUUAACCUUAUCAAAAGAAGCUUCGGUGAGGGAUUUGUGGGAUUAGACAAGUGAGCAUAGAAUUGAUAUUGAAAUACUUUAUUAUGUGAAAUUUGAUCUUUUUAAUGAUAUUAAUUAGUAUGAGUCAUCUUAUUGAAGUUUGAGAAGUUAAAAUGUAAGAAUUAUUAGACCUUCUUUAAGACUAGACAUAAGUCUCCCAAACUCAUGCUUAAAACCUCUCGGACUAAUUUGACUUGCAUCAAUUUGAACUAUUUUAUGGUACAUUUGAGAUAUAUUUGGUUAAUGUUAUAUAUAUAUACAUGAUGUAUAUAAAGCAACAAAAACCAGAAGGGGCGAGUAUACAAAAAUAAGCAACCACACCCUACGAGAACCUAACCAAUCUGUAAAAUCUAACAACGACAUAGAACCAUCCCCAAUGUACAAUCUAACUCAAUCCCAAAAUAGAUACAAAAAGGAAUUUUUAAUUGUUUAGUCCAAAGUUUCAAAAUUCUUAAAGACUCCCCUAUUUGUUAGGCAUCAUUUUUAAUUGUUUAGUCUGAAGUUUCACAAUUCUUAAAGACUCUCCUAUCUAUUAGGCAUCCUCUAACCCCUCUUUCUGAGCUUAUCCUGAGUCAAUAUCUUAGCCCAAGUUACUUCCCAAUUAAAAAAAGCUAGCUUUUACAGGAGUUUAAGAAUUCCAAAUUACACUAUGAGGGAAAGGCCCCACUCUCCUACUUGCUAAGGAGGAGUAGAAGGACUUAAAAAAUAAUCACCAUUUUUUGUCUUCAGCUAAACCAUAACAUCAUCAAUACCCAAAAAGAUGAAGUGAAUAUGCAACCUCCCAAAAAAGACAUGUACUUCCUCCAACUCCCGGUCAUUUAUAUAUAAAUGUUUUAAAUAUAGAAAUGGUGAAGAUUAGCUAUGAGAUCAAGAAACAAAGUAAAUUAAAGUAUAUUUAUACUUAGCAUCUUAUCAAAGUAAAAAAAAAAAAAAUGAGAUAAAUAUCUUCUUAUACAAGUAACAAAGACACAUCAUAAUAAUUCAAUCAUAAAAAAUAACUUUCAUAUUACAUGAAAUUCUAAUAUCAAUCCAAUUGCACCAAAAUCAUAGUGUAUAAGACAACAUUUAUUAUAAUUUAAUGUAAACUUCGAAAGUGUUCAACUAACAAAAGUUCACCUCUAAUCUACUCUAAAAGUGUCAUAUCCAAGUAUUCGCACCCAUAGUUGAGAUCAUUUUCAGCCCAAUCCCCAUGUCUUAAAAUUUUGAGAUGCAAAGGAUCCGACACCUAGACAUGUACCUGCACUUGACACCCAUGUCGGGCCUCAUGUAACAUAGCCGCAAGGUAAGGUGGUGAAUAAGAGGAGGAGGACAGGGCAAUGUGGACGGAUUCAAGGAAUGAUACCUUCUCCAUAUGGUCUCUCUAUGUUACCUCAUAGUUAGGGGAUUUAAUUCUUUUUUUGACAAAGGUCAUUUGGAAUCUAUGGGUUCUAUUUGAAGUAAGUUUCUCUAUGUGGGAAGCUUGUUAGGAAAGGGUAUUAACUCUUGAUCAAUUUCAAUGAUGAGGGUGGACAUUAGUUAAUAGAUAUUUCUUAUGCAAAGUCAAAGAAGAAUCAACUGAUCACAUUCUUCUUCAAAAUUCGAAGACAGGGAUUCAUUGGUACAUUUUUUCUUUGUUUUGUGUUCCUUGGGUGUUGUUUACCACAAUGAGAGACUCUUUUAAGGUGAUGUGGACCUUUGAUGGGAAAAAAGGUGCAAGGUUGGAAGAAUUGCUUCUUUAUGCAUUUUUUUGUAAUAUUUGGAAAUAAGGGAAUCAAAGGUCGUUUGAGAAUGAGAAACAAUUUGUCCAUGUUUUGAAUAGCACAUUCCUUAGUAAUCUCAUUUUGUAGGUAAGGUAGUGCAUAGGUGAAGGCUCAAUAAGCGUUUAAUUGAUUUUGUUGAUUGGUUGGGUUUUCCCAAGAGAGGGAGUUGUUUUUUGUACUCUCAUUUUAAUUGUUCCUUGGCUCCAUUUUUUUAUUGUUUCUUUGGUGCACUAUUUCUAUAGUGCCUUUUUAUAAAAUUAUAUUAUUGCCUAUAAGAAUUAUCUAAUCCCAUUUUUUAAGCGAAAUCUAAACCAAAGAGAUAUGGUUCAAAUGGAGACGUCCUACAAAAUUUGAUUUGAUCACUUCUAACCAUCAAAUUUUCUUCAGUUUUACUAUAGUCAAAUGGUUAAAAAAGAUAAGAAUAAACAUAAAGGAGCAAUCCUUCAAAUGUUGCUUCAUUUCUUACAACAAAACUCCCAUCUCAUCCUAACAUCUCUUUUACUGACCAAGGAAGAAUUCAACAACAACCAUAUAGCAAGAAAAACAAUGUCACAAGCUCCUUGCCACAACACAGUGAAGCAAGAUAUAAUUGGCCAUUUGGCAAGUUUUGUGGUACCGCAUAAUAAUGUGGUUUAAGCAAAACUAGCACAUAAAAAGCCAUUUGCUAUGUUUUACAAAGAUGAAGUAGUCCUUAAGAGAAUUUUUAGAUAUAUCAAAGAAAGCAAUAAGAGACCAAAUCUAAGGCUCAAGAUAAUUUGUUAUUGUGAGUUAGGUGCACAAGAUUCGGAUGACAUCCAUAUAGACAACAGAAUAAGGAAAGAGAAAUGACAAAUUUGUGGCAUCUUAAAGGUGGAGACGGUAAACAAGGUUAAAGAGAAGUGGAAGAGCUAAACUCCACAAAUUAAUCAACAAAUUUCAUACACCAAAUCUAGGUCUAUGAGAAGUAAUAGUACCAUGUGGUGAAAGGCUAAGGCCCUAUUUGUUAACUAUUUUUAAAAAAUAAUUUUUUGUUCUCCAGAACCAAAAAUAAAAUAAAAUAAAUAGGAAAACACAUUUGACAACCAAAAAGCAGAAAAUAUUAUCAUGUUCUUAAAAGUAUAAAACAAUUUUAUAUUCUUAAAAAUAGAAAAUAAGGUAUUUUCAGAUAACAUCUUUUAGUUGUUUUCACUUGUUUUCUAAAAGUGGUUUUAAAAAAUAAUUAUAUAAACAUGGAGAAUGAUUAAAAAUAAAGCACUACAUAUAAAAGUUAUUUUUAAAACAUAUUCGAAACAUAGAAAACAGGUUAAAAAUAUUUCAAGUCCCCAAACAGACUUUUGUUCUACAAAAUAUCAAAGAACAAUUUUCAAAAUUUGUUCUCAAAAACUAUUUCCAAAAACACUUCACACUUCCCCAACAAAACCUAAGCAUAACAACAACCACUCACAAUCGUUAACUCUAAUGGGGGUAAAAGGUCCUUGAUAAAAGAUACCAAGUAUUAUUGUGGGCUGAAAGUGCAAGAGAACUAUUCCUUGACGGGAAGAGAAUGAAGGUUGAAAAGUUUGAAGUGGAGAAAAAGUCUUUCCAGGUAAAGUUUGAAGGAUUCGAAUGGGGGAACUUGGAUAUCAGUAACAGAAAGGAGCCGAGGUUUUGUUGUCUCAGUAGGAUUUGGAAAAGAGGAGUUGGAUUAGUUGACGGAGCAUUUGAAGAAAGCCGUGGAGUUGGAGCUUCCAGGGGAUUUAUACGAAAGAUUAGGGGCAAGACUAGGACUCACUUGAUGGAGAUUUGUUUCAAUAAUAGAGGGCGUUACAUGAAAAUUACAGAAAUUGUUACAAAAAGGAAGCCAUUAAUCCUUGUCGUUUCCGAGGGUGUUAAAGGCAAUGAGUGGGAAGACCUUAGGAAGGCGAUUUCUUCAGUGCAAGAUUAUUCUGAUCAAGUUGGAGGAGCUUUGAAGGAGACGUUUAGAGAUGCUCACGUGAGUAAGGGCAUUUACAGAGGUUGUCAGUCAUACGCAGAAGUGGUUGCAGAGGAUGGACCUAGGAAUGGAGUUCUAUUGUCAGUUGGAAAAUGGGUCAAAGCUGUAAUUUGUGAAUGCAAAGAAAAAGUUCAAGAUUGAACUCACGAACGAAAAGUUAUUGCGAGGAUGAUGGGUACGAAAGGAAUGGUGUUUGUAACUCCCAUUUCCACUUUCAAAGGGUGUUUCUUUGUGGAUUCAACAAGAAGAGUUGAAUGGUUCCAAGAGCAGGGAAGAUUAUUAGUGAGAGGAAGGUCUAUUCUCCUGAGGAGAUGGUCGCCAAGUGAAAAUAUGGUUGUUUUCAAAAAAUUCAGAAAGGGCUAGUUAGAAUUGAAAGGUCUUCCUUUUCACUUGUGGGAUGAAGAUCAGUUGAAAUUCAUUCUGAAGAAGUGGGAGAGGGUAACGAAGGUGGUAAGGGAAUCAUUAAAGCUUGCAGACUUGUCGAAGGUGAAGUUGUGGGUGGAGACGCUUCCAAAUGUCGUGCUACCAGCGUUGCUAGAGGUGGAAGAUGGGGCCUGGACAUUCACAGUCGCAGUUUCAGUCACCGGAGAAGUUGAUGAAGAUGACAUUUCCACGUCUAAGUCAACCCGUAACAGGGACGAGUUGUUGAAAGUGGGAGGUUGCGUCUCUCAGUGGUCAAAAAAUGCAGAGGGGCUACGCAGUAGCAUUAGGGAUAAUGAGUGCUACAAUAGGAGGCUUCUUCCCCAGUCACGUUACCAGUAUUUAAGUACAAAAUUGGCGGCCAAAAGGGAGAAUGGCUGGGAAGGGAGUCUUUUGGGCCAAGCGGAAGAAAACUUCAAUGGGCCCACUACGCCUGAGCCCAUGUUUAAAGCCCAGCCUGUUAGGGCCCAAAGUGGGACAAAAAAUCGUGGGCGUCAUGCUGGUCCAGUUGUUUCUCAAGCCCACGAGACUAUAGCGUUGUCGUCUUCAACACUCCAGCGAGAUGGUUCUUCUGCAAAGGCGGUCCUGUUGUUUGCACGCUCUCAAGGUCCAAUCAAAGUUAAGGCAGGAGACGAGACUUUCUCUGGAGAGGAUGGUCGGGCUUUUGAGAUAAAGGCCCAGCCUCUUCCCAACCCUAGCCCACCUUCAGACGCUAUCGUGGGCUAUAAUUUAAAAGGUUCGUCGUGGUUGUGCCAAAGAUUAGGAGGAACGAUGUCUUUUGUUAAGAAAGGUCGAUCUCGAAGAGAAGAAGAUGUUGCAGUCUAAAAAAGGAAAGCUCCUGAGGUUCAGACGAGAGGCUCUGCGCAGAAGGAAGAGAAGGUAGUUUCAAAGAAAAUGUGGACCACCCUCUUCCCUCCAAGUUUCAAUCGCCGAUAAGGACUUCGGAGUUGCAACGAGCCUCUUUUCCUCGGGAAGUCAUCGUCGGUUAGCGAAGUUUGCAUUUUGGAAGAGGAUUUCGGGACGGGAUCUCAGAUGGAACGAGGAUUCAGAGCGAGUCCUCUCUUUCGUUGUCAUUUGUCAAGGAAUCGAAAGCGGUGUUCGGGGAAAGGGACCUCGUCGUCAAGAGGCGAAGCGGAUCUGCGCAAUCCCCAUUUCGAAGAAGACAAAGAAGGUUUUUUUGGCUGAGUGGGGUCCGAUCUUCGUGGUUCAUCAAUCACGGAUUCACCUUCUAGUCCAGAAAUCAGAGGUAAAGGGCUCAUCUUUGAGGGGAUUUGCGAAAUUCCAAGAAUGGAAGACUCAGAGGUAUGUCUGUCUUCUCCUUCUCAACCACCCGAGUCUUCUUCUAUCCCUUCUUGUAAUCUGGCACUUCCUUUGUCGAGUCCCUCUGGUCCAGAUCUCCCUAGUUCAGCCUCUCUUUCUCAGUCUCCUAUAGAAAAUCAGGUAAUUUCUGAAAUUUUUUCUAAAAAAGAUGUUGGCACUUUUUAUCAAAAUUAUGUUGGCAUUGUCCGUGAUGAGGAGGAGAACCAGUUUGCUUUAUCAAACCAGUUGUCCAAGUGUUUUACCUCCAAUAAGUCUAAACCCAGCUUGCCUAAGGAGAAUUCCAACCUGGUUACAGACAGCCAAGGGGAUACUCUGGUAUCCCCAUCGGGCGAGUUCCAUAUAGAUGGCCUGUCCCCCAGGAAAAUGGCUAAAGUGCGAGAGGUUUUAUGCUCUCUGGAUAUUAAGGUUUAUUCCAGGAGGAAGAACAGUUGCUCCACAAGUAAUUAAGACCUGUUGGAAAUGGUUUGGCGGGUUAGGGUCUAUGAGUUUCUCCAUGAAAAUUAUCAGUUGGAACACCAGGGGUUUGGGAUCAAGGAAUAAGCGAAGGGUAGUUAAAGAUUUUCUAAGGUCAGAGAAUCCGGAUGUUGUGAUGAUUCAGGAAUCAAAAAAGGAGAAGUGUGACAGAAGGUUUGUGGGUAGUGUCUGGACGGUCAAAAAUAAGGAAUGGGUUGUUCUUUCGGUGUGCAGGGCUUCAAGUGGGAUUUUGAUCAUUUGGGACUCAAAAAAACUGCAUAGUGAGGAGGUGGUAAUAGGAUCCUUCUCGGUCUCAAUCAAGUUUGCUUUGGAUGGUUGCGGACCUCUUUGUAUAUCCGCAGUUUAUGGCUCAAACAGCCCCUCACUUAGGAAGGAUUUUUGGAUGGAACUUUUUGACAUUUUUGGCCUAUCUUUUCCAUUAUGGUGUGUGGGCUGUGAUUUUAAUGUCAUAAGGAGAAGUUUAGAAAAAUUGGGGGGUUCUAGUCUAACUUCAAGCAUGAAGGACUUUGAUAGUUUUAUAAGAGAAUGUGAAUUGCUUGAUCCACCUUUACGGAACGCAUCAUUCACUUGGUCAAACUUGCAAGAGUCUCCCAUGUGUAAGAGAUUGGACCGUUUUCUUUACUCAAAUGAGUGGGGGGAGCUCUUUCCCCAAGGCCUUCAAGAAGCCCUUCUUAGAAGGACCUCGGAUCAUUGCCCAAUUGUUUUGGAUACCAACCCGUUCAAGUAGGGCCCAACACCUUUUAGGUUUAAGAAUAUGUGGUUGCAACAUCCUAGUUUCAAGGAGAACUUUAGAAAUUGGUGGAGGAAAUGGGUGGGAAGGUCACGAGUUCAUGAGGAGAGUACAAUUUGUUAAAGCCAAAUUGAAGGAGUGGAAUAAGGUUUCUUUUGGAGAGCUAAAUGAAAAGAAAAAAAGCAUCCUCAAUGAUUUAGCUAACUUUGAUGCCAUUGAGCAAGUAGAGGGUCUCACUUCUGAUCCGUUAGUUCAAAGAGCCUUAAGAAAAGGGGACCUAAAGGAAUUAAUUUUGAGGAAAGAAAUUCAUUGGAGACAAAAAGCUAGGGUGAAAUGGGUUAAGGAAGGGGAUUGUAACUCUAAGUUUUUUCAUAAAGUGGCUAAUGGUAGGCGAAAUAGGAAAUUUAUCAAGGUGUUGGAGAAUGAAAGGGGCUUAGUGUUGAAUAAUGUCGAGAGUAUCACAAAGGAGAUCUUGCUUUACUUUGAAAAGCUCUACGCGAGUUCUACAAGAGAGUCUUGGAGCGUUGAAGGAUUAGAUUGGUCCCCUAUUUCGGAAGAGAGCGCGUUUAGGUUGGAUUCCCCUUUUACUGAAGAAGAGAUUUCUAAGGCCAUUUUUCAGUUGGAUAGGGAUAAGGCGUCGGGGCCUGAUGGCUUUACCAUUACAGUAUUUCAAGAUUGUUCGGAUGUGAUCAAGGAGGAUUUAAUGAAAGUGUUUGCAGAGUUUCAUAGGAGCGGAAUUACCAAUCAAAGCACUAAUGCCUCCUUCAUAGUUUUGUUACCCAAAAAGAGUUUGACAAAGAAAAUCUCAGAUUUUAAACCCAUUAGCUUGAUCACUAGCCUCUACAAGAUAAUAGCCAAAGUGCUUUCAGGGCGUCUAAGAGGGGUUCUACAUGAAACCAUCCACUCUACUCAAGGCGCUUUUGUUCAAGGGAGACAAAUUUUGGAUGCGGUUCUCAUAGCCAAUGAGAUAGUGGAUGAGAGAAGAUGAUCAGGGAAGGAAGGUGUCGUCUUCAAAAUUGACUUUGAAAAGGCUUACGAUCACGUGAGUUGGGAUUUUUUGGAUCAUGUGUUGGAGAAGAAGGGGUUCAAUCCUAGAUGGAGGAAAUGGAUGAGUGGUUGUUUGUCCUCGGUAUCUUAUGAAGUCUUGGUGAAUGGAAACGCUAAAGGGUGGGUUAAGGCAUCUAGAGGUUUAAGACAAGGUGACCCUUUAUCCCAUUUUUUGUUUACUUUAGUCGCAGAUGUACUGAGCAGGAUGCUAUUGAGAGCAGAGGAAAGAAAUUUGUUGGAGGGUUUCAGGGUAGGUAGAAACAGAACUAGGGUGUCCCAUUUGCAAUUUGCAGAUGAUACCAUUUUCUUUUCUAACACUAAGGAGGAAGAACUGCAGACUCUCAAGAGUCUUUUGCUAGUGUUUGGGCAUAUUUUUGGGCUCAAGGUCAACCUUGACAAGAGUAAUAUUUAUGGCAUCAAUCUUGAUCAGAAUCAUCUUUCAGGAUUGGUUGAGUUGCUUGAUUGCAAGGCUUCUGGUUGGCCUAUACUCUAUCUGGGUCUUCCUUUGGGAGGGAACCCCAAGGCGUGUGGCUUUUGGGAUCCAAUGAUUGAGAGAAUCUCAAGAAGAUUAGAUGGGUGGCAAAAGGCUUACUUAUCUUUCGAUGGAAGGAUAACUCUUAUCCAAUCUUGCCUCACCCAUAUGCCCCGUUACUUCCUUUCCUUAUUUAAGUUACCCGCUUCAGUGGCUGCAAAAAUCGAGAGGUUGCAAAGGGAUUUUUUAUGGUCAAGGAUUGGGGAAGGCAAAAAAAAUCAUUUAGUUAGUUGGGAUGUAGUGUGUAAACUGAAGGCAAAAGUGGGAUUGGGUUUUAGGAAUAUUUCUCUAAGGAAUCUCGCUCUUUUAGGAAAAUGGUCGUGGAGGUACCCUAGAGAGGGUUCAGCUCUAUGGCAUCAGGUCAUCUUAAGCAUUUAUGGUUCACACUCUAAUGGUUGGGAUGCUAACACUUUAGUCAGAUGGUCACAUCGUUGUCCUUGGAAGGCUCUUGCACAAGUCUUUCAGGAGUUUUCCUUGUUUACUCGGUUUGUGGUAGGAAAAUGGGGAAAUAAUUCGUUUUUGGGAAGAUUUGUGGUGGGGGGACCAACCUUUGGGAUCCCAAUAUCCAAGACUAUUUAGAGUAGUCUUGGAUAAAAAUAUUCUUAUUUCUUCAGUUCUCGGUUCUACUCGUCCUUUCUCUUGGAACUUUAAUUUCCGUCGUAACCUUUCAGAUUCUGAGAUAGAAGACUUAGAAGGCCUCAUGCGCUCACUUGAUGGUUUGCAUCUAUCACCUUCGGUUUCAAAUGCUAGAUUUUGGUCUUUAUCUUUUUCAGGGCUUUUUUCAGUCAAAUCUUUCUUUCUAGCCUUAUCCCAAUUUUCUGGUUCUCCUCAGGUUUUUUCUUCUAAGUUCGUUUGGAAAUCUCAAGUCCCUUUCAAAGUGAAGUCCUUUAUUUGGUUAGUGGCACACAAGAAGGUAAAUACUAAUGACAUGCUACAAUUGAGAAGACCCUACAAAACCCUCAGUCCUGAUAUUUGUAUUCUGUGCAUGAAGCAUGGGGAAUCAGCAGAUCACCUUUUCCUACAUUGCUCCUUGACGAUUGGGUUGUGGCACAGAUUAUUUCAGUUAACCAAGAUGGAUUGGGUUCCCCCGAUGAGCAUCUUUGACAUGAUGUCCAUCAAAUUUAAUGGUUUUGGUUCAUCUAAGAGGGGGAUAGUUUUGUGAUAAGCUGCGAGCAUCGCUUUAAUUCGGGUUGUGUGGUGGGAAAGAAACGCAAGGAUUUUUUAGGAUAAAGUAAGGAAUUCAGAGUAUCUUUGGGACUCUAUUGUUUUCCUUGCUUCUCUUUGGGUUUUCUAUUCCAAGGUUUUUAAGGGGACUCCCCUUAAUGUGUUACAACUUGAUUGGUUAGCGGUGUGUACUCCAUAAGGAAUGGUCCAAUCUAGAGAGUUCGCUUGUUUUACUGUGUACUUUCUUGUAGUUUAGUUUUCUUUGGUGGGAGGAUUUCUCAUCCUUCUUUUGUACUUCUUUUUUCUAUCAAUAUAUCUCUUUGUCGUUUCCAAUAAAAAAAAAAACAAAAACAAAACUUAAGCAUUCUCAAAAGAAUCAUGUAGUGUGAAGUUAAAGAAAUUCAGGAAAAAUUAAAGUUAAAAUAAGAAAAACUUUACAUAAACAAGAAGGAAAAAGGAAAGGAAAGAAAAAGAAAACAAGCACAGUAGCGAGAAAGAAUCAAGGCUAACCAUGAGCAUGGAGAACCUUUUAGAAGCAUAGAGACAGUAAGAAUUUUAAGCUAUUUAUGAGGCAACCAUAGUGAUUUAUCAUCCAUUGAAUAGCUGAAAAAUAAUCCACUAUUGAUAUUAAUCCAAUUAUAAUGUUUGCUACUUUGUAUAUAAGCAAUUGUUCAUAACACAACAUGUGCAUGGUGUGGAACAUUGUAGAAAACAUUAGGCUAACAUGGUGUGCAAUUGGAUGAGACUGACCAUCAGUGUAGUUGGCAUCUUUUUCACACAUUUAAAUACAUUAUGGCCAUCCAAUGAAUUAUAAUAGGUAAUUAUCAUAUCCAUCGGUUAAAUUUGAGAAAUGAAAACAAUCCUAGUAGAAGUUUCCAUCCUGAUGCCUAGGAUUUUAUGACCGCACCAUUUGACAAUGUUAUAGAGACAAACUCAAUGUAAACAAGAUUCUCGUAUAAAUUCCUACUGUGGAAAAAAGAAAUACUUUCAUUCUGAUCAGGAAUACCUGAAAUUUUCAUUCUCAUGGAAGAAAUUGCUUUUUCUGCAGUUCCCAUAGCUGUUUUGACAAUAUCACCAUCUUCGACAGCCACUCGCUUCUCAGGACCCGUUGCAGCAGUGGCAUCAAUACAAGUUUUACCAACACAUGCUUCACCCAAGGAACAAGCAGGUAAAGUACAUGGGGUGACCACACAUUGAGAAACAUAUGGACAGCAAGAACAGACCAUUGUUGGAUGAGAAGCUUGGCUUGUAAGGAGUUGACAUUCUUGAGAACUUGAACCGGUACCCCACUGUACAUAACUAGAACCUUCUGCAGAAAAAUGAUUAUUCCAAUUCCCCAAUUGAUGAAGUUGCUGCAGAAUCUUUUGCCUUUGCUCCUCAACCUCAUAAUACUGGUUAAGUAGCUGGGUAUAAUCUUCUACACCUUGUGAAUUUGAGUAGCCUCCGACUUUGGGUUCAUCUUGCACGGGCAGCACAUCUGAUGAAUCCACAUGGGGUUUGGGAGCAGAUGGAACUACACAAUAGUUUUCUUUAAUCGAUGAAAUAUUAUUAGUCUUCUCAAUUUCUGCAGUGGAAUUUGACGCAACAUUGCUCUUAUCAUCUGCCUCCAUAGUUCUUCAUAAACAAAAAACAAGAGAUACAAAACUCAAUAUAAAUGAAUAAUUUAAAGAUAAUAGAAGUGCAGGACAGUAGCUGAUUUCUUGUAAACUAGAAUAUUGUUACUCAAAGAAUUAGGUUUUUGGCUUAAGCUCAUGUUUUAGUUAACUUGCUGCGUAAGCAGGCAACUGAAGUCAAAUUUGAAGUAUACCUUAUUUUUUCUUUUAUAAGCAAAGAGUGCAUAAAAUAUAUAAAGUGCCAAAAGGACACACCAGAGUAUACAAGACGUAUACAAAUAGCGCCUAGAAGCAUGAAAAGCAAGAGAAAACACGAAAAACAACAUCCUCUCUUAACAAGACCCCAACCACUCUACAAAAUCAAAUAAAGACAGAAUAUGUCUCUAAGUACAUUUUUACCCAAGUAAACAAAUUUUUAAGGAAGGCAUUCUUCAAAAAUUGAGUUGAAUGUUCCUCAUUAUUCAACGAUCUGUGAUUCCUUUCCUUCCAAAUUGUCCAAAAAAUACAUAAAGGAGUUGCUCUCCAAACCUUCUCAUAUUUUUUACCCACAAAAGAAUUGUGCCACCCUAAGAGAGUUUCCUUAAUGGUAGCUACUUGCACCCAAUGGAUAUCGAAUAGAUCAAACAACAACUGCCAAAGGACCCUAACCUUCAAACAAUGGAAGAGGAUGAUCUAUGGAUUUUUCUUCUCCUUUGCAAAGAAAACAUCUAUUAACCAAAGACCAUUAUCUUUUUUAAAGCUGAUCUAUAGUCAAAACCUUUCCUAAAGUAGCCUCCCAUGCAAAAAAGUUGCUUUAGAAGGCACUCAUGAAUUCUAAACUGCCAUCUUUGGAAAUGAAAUCAAAACCCCCGGUUCCAACAUGGUAUAUAAAUGCUUAACAGAGAACUUAUUGUUGUUCAAGUUCAUCCACACCAUCUUCUCACCCCACAUACUAUCAACUACCUUUCCUUGCAACCUUUAAAAUAAAUCCUCAACUUCAUCCGCUUCCCAAUUAUUCAAAGGUAUUGAGAAACAAGGGUUCCAGUGACCUCUCUCCCCUAUCUGAAUGCAAAGAUCUGCUACCCAUGCCUCUUUUGAAAUGGCUAGGGCAUAUAAAGAAAGAAAGGAAACACACAAUGCUCAUCAUCACACCAUUUAUCCUUCCGAAACUUCAUCCUCCUCCCAUUACCUACCACAAAGGAAGACUAGAAAUGAAAAUGUCCCAUUCCUUCCUGAUAGAUUUCCAAAGCCUAACUCCAUUCCCAUCCCUAACUUCACAAGACCACCACCCCCUCUUCAUCCCCAUAUUUUCCACUAAUGACUUAUGUCCAAAAGGCACCUCUUUCAGUUGCAAACCACCAAUUCCAUUUGCACAAAAACGCCUUAUUCAACAAGGAAAGACAUCUAAUUCCCAACCCCCCAUUUGCACAAAGCAUACCUUAUUAAGGUUUUGUCUUUCACCCAAUAAAAGGUAAAAUUUGAAGCGUAUAAUAUCUACUCCAGAUUCAAGAGGCAAGCAUCUCUUGUGAAACUUCGUAUUAAAAAGGGCAACAUCUUUGGAGAACAAAAACAAUAAGAAAAUCUUCUGGAAUACAUUCCUGGUCUAUGAAUACAGGACAAUCUACAGCUAGAUUUUUGGAUUAAUAUGGGUAAGUUGGAUAGAUUAAUAAAGCAAUUAAUAGUACAAAGUGAAACAAUUGAGGAACCUUAGGUGAAGAAAAAUGGGCAAAACUGGUGACAUCAUAGCCAACUAAUUAUAUCCUUUUGUUUUACUCAGCACGUAAAUGAAUCAUCUUCAUCUGUUCAUCAAUGCCAGAGGCACCAUCCCAAUUAUCCAAACUUAGCAGCCUAAGACCCAAACAAAGACACACAACAAUAGAAGUUGCAAACACCUAAAUUAAACUCUUGACUCUUAACAAAGAAAUAUGUAAAAUUAGGUAGCAAGGAUACAUCACAGCCAAAAAGAAGGUUUUUAUCACAGUGCAGUUUAUGCUUUUCAAACCAGUGUACUUUCAACUUCUCUAAGAAAGGUAAGAGGAGAGAUGAGAGAAAAUAUCCUAGAUAUCUAACUUUGAAUUAAAUCCCAAUCACAAAAGACUAGAAGGAACAGAAAAAAAAAUUCUCACAGAUCUUGCAUUCUUGAAGCUCACCAAUGGACAAUGACAAAAGACAAAUAAGAGAGACAAAAAAAGGGAUGACAAAUGCCCACCAUGGCAUAUGAGUAAGCUUCCAUUGUGAAUGCACCUGAUGCUUUUGUAAGCUUAUUUAUCACCUUCUUUAGGAACAUGAAAAGGAAAAGGAGGGUAAAAUCUUUGUUCAUACAGACCAUUUUAAUAGAAGACAAGUUGAGAUGACACAAUCUAAGCCCACCAAGCAAGAUUGACUUGCAACUCGAGAUUCUGAUAUGAUACAUGUAAACUCUUAGGAGAAUAAGAAACUUUUGCACAUACAACCUCAGAAAUAGUUGAGACUCCAAUUUUAUUCUGAAAGUACACCCAGUUAUUCUUACAUUGAGUCAAUAAAUUGUUGUUUGAUAAGUUUAUGCUUGAUGUUAAUAAAUGCUGGAAAACUCAGGACUAUAUUUCAUUAAUUUGUCACAUUUUUACAAAUUCAACCUAUGAAAUACUAGAUCCUUGUAGUCCUUUAAUAAUCUAUUUUCUGUCUUUCAACCAUUUAACCAAUAUUCUUCGCAAGACCUAAGUGUAAAAACCCUUUCCAAUAUUACAAGCUCAAUGAAAUAGACAGCCUGUAGCAAGACCUAAUGAAUGAUGCUUUUCUUUAGUCAGAAUAUUUGAAGGAACACACAUCAAACAAAAAAAGAGCUUCAGCUAAUUUAUAUACUCACGUUUUAGCCUCAUCACUCUCAUCAGCAAGAUUACAUGCAUUUUCUCCCAUGAUGUUUUUGACUUCUACUCCCCCAGUUGAACCAUCAUGGUGCCCUUUACCAUGCAUUAUCUGGAUAAAUCAGUAAGCAAGGAGUAUUAAAUGUUUGCUGCAUAAAAACAAAUUGUAGCUGGCAAUAUUAGGAAAUUUUGUCAGCUAAAUCAGUAUCAGAUGAAACAUGGAUAAUUAAUUCUUAAUGAAAGAAAUAAAAAAAUAAAAAUAAAAUAAAAAUUAAAAAUAAAAUAAAAAGUAAAAAUAAAAAGAGAUAAUAACAAAGUCCAAGAUCAAAUAUUUACUUCUCUGUGUGUCAUUUUCCAAUGAAACCAUCACUUAUUCAAUUUAAGCCUCUAAGAAUUGUUACAUCUUGUAUAAAAGUUACUACUAUUUUCUGAAUUCAAAAAUCAGGAUAAAAUCAGACACUUAGAUUUUAGCUUCUCGCUCUUUCAGUUUUAUCUUAUUACUAUUAUUAUUAUUCAGUUAGGAGGUGGUUUUUUCUUUUCUUGAUACCUCCAUCUGUUGCCAUGCUAAAUACCACAAAUAUCUUUCACCCACCACCUUGACAAAAAUACAGAAAGAUGAAUGCACCUCAUGAACAACCUCCCUUUGGGAGAAAAAUCCAGAUGUUGUAUUUCAGGUGCAUAGUGCUCUCCAUAUUUGAUAAAAUCAAUGGGUCCUGCCUUAUCUUCUCACUAUUUUGCAAUCUAGGCCAAGAAUCCCACACAGGGACAAUAGAAUUUCAAUAUCCCAAAUUGCCACAUUUCCAGGUCUUGGUCUACAAUUUCCAUGCAUCCAUCAACAACAAUAACAUUUGAUGUGAGAUUCUUAUACAUCAGUUUUUCAAUCCCAGACCCACAAUCAAAGAACCUUAAAAACCACAUAUAUCUCCAAGAAAGCAUGCCCAACUCUACAAAACCCUAUCUGAUAGCAACCAUCUAAGUUCUUUCCCCUCAUUUUCCUCUAUUAUACAAUUUCUUCCACAGCAACCCACUUGCUUUCAACUUGAACCACAACCAAACAAGUCCUUAUUGGUUCAAUCUUUGACCAUUAUCGCAAAUAAACAAACCAUCGUCCAACAAUUACAUAACAGAGAAAGAGAAAGUGAAGCCAAAGUCCUCGAAGUUGUUUCACAAUUCAUCAAAAUUGAACCGCAACAUUCACGAUUUUACAUUUAAACAAAUAACCAUUGAAAUGGGGAUGAUUAAAACGAACUUCCGUCUCGGAGUUUCAAAUGAAUAGAGAAAAAUUAAGGGUAUAAAGAUAUGGGUUUAAACAUGGUACUGUAAAAUGCAUGCCAGGUGUUUGAUAAAAGGCUCAUGCAUGAUGCAACCCACUUCAUAGUGUUCAAAGCGAAGGAAAAAGAGAGGAAAACAAACCUUGUACUUGGACAUGGCGUGGUCGAAGGCAUUGAUGAGAGCGGAAUCAUCCCACAAUUCACCUUCCUUCCCCAUUUUCUACUCACUUUCCGUCUCUGGGUGUUUGUUUGUCUAAAUUCUCACAAUUCAGACCGCUCAACACUCCUUUAUCAAGCACAAAUCCAAUUUUCAUCAGCACCAAAUUUGGGAUCCAUUCUUUCAGCUAUGGUCGGGUUCAACCCAACCCAACCCAACCCAGGUCCACUUCUAGAUGGGCUUUGGCAGACUUUAUCUGGGCCCAUUGCACUUUUCAAUGUACUUUUUCCAUUCACUCAAUUUGAUUAAAAAGUUAUCAAUUUUGGAAAUCUAAUCAUUUAUCCUUUUUUUUUACCCUAUUUUAAUAAAAAUAUAUUUUUUUUUUAUAAAAAUAACCCUUUCUUUUAAAACCUAUAUGUAAAUACUUAAAAUAUUUAAGGAUAUUUAUGUCAAAAAUAAUUACUCUUGAAAAAUAAACAUGAACGAGAUUAAAUUUACAAAUAAUAAUUAUUUUAUCCCUUUUAAUCAAGUAAUUUAAAAAAAGAUAUAUAUUUAAUAAAAAAAUGAUUUACAAGUGAGAAAAUUAUACAUUCAUUUCUCUAAUCACUCUUUACAUCCAUCAAAAUUGUAAGUUUUUUUUUUUUUUUUUUUGGAACAAAAACACUCUUUCAUAAAAAGAUCAAAGUACCAUUAAAAGUUCAUUACAUGCCCAUCUUGCUCUCUUCUUUCUUUCAUUUUUUUUUUCUUUUAAUCUCUCCAAAACCCUAAUAAAAUUUUUAAAGAAAGUUGUGAUUCUUAAAUAAUAAUCAAAUGAAUAGAUAAUUAUCUCUAAUCAUGCUAAAGGUAGAUUUGUACCAUUUUUUUGUAUUUUUCUUUUAUAUUUUUUAGAUUUGGUAGGGUGUCCCGAGUUGGAGGCUUAGAUGAUUUUUAAAAUGUUCAGUAUUGUAUCUUCAAACACCCUUAAAAUUGUUUAACAUUGUACUUUUAGACACCCUUUAACGGGAUUUAAUAUUAUUCCUUCAAACAUUUUGAAGUUUGACAAUUGUAAUUUCUUCAAUUUUCUUUUCAUUAUUUCAAAUGUUUGUACUUCUAAGUCACUUUUAAAUUAUUUUUAAAUGAUUUUAAACUCUUUUUUUUUUUGAAGUAAACAUAAUAUUAAUAUAUGAAUUCAAAAAGUGUCUAAAAAAAUUGUAAUUAACUUUGCACUUAAUUCAAAUAAUCUUUUAUUGACAAAGAAAGCUCGGGAUAAGGAGAUUUUACCUUGAGGUUAGUUGAGAAAAAGAAAAAUGAGAGAAGAAUAAAGAAGAUGUGAUGUGGAAGGGAAUAAUGAGAAAAGUAUUUUAUAUAUAUUGAUAAUAUCUAGGUAGAAGUGUCUAGACCCCAAGAUUUGUCCCAAAUUUUAUUUUACUUUAAUUUUGAGUCCAAUUUUAUCUUUAAAUUUUAAAUUCGAUUAUAUUUGAUUUUUUUUUGUCCAUUUAUAACCUUUAAAUCUUAAUUUUUGUUAUUUCAUUUUUAUUUUAUAUUUUAUAUAUUAUUUUAUUUUACUUUCCUUUUCUUUCCUUCCUCCCUCCUCUCUCUCUCUUACCACUUACCCCCACCUACCCAUACUUUCUCUCAUACCAUCCUCAUUCCUACUACCAUUCCCCAUUUCCUCCCUUCUUCUGUUUUUCCUUUUUUGGAUUCAUUUUCCUCUUCCUCCUCCCUCCCCUCCCAAACCCUGUACCUAUACAUCCUCAUUCCUACAACCAUACCCCCUCUCCCCUCUUCUUAUUUUUUCCCUCAUCUAUUCUUUUCUUCUUUUUUUUCCUUUUUUGACUUCAUUUUCCCAUUUUCCUCAUUCCAUACCUUCCUCAUCUCUUCUUCUUCUUUUUUUCUAGCUUAUUUUUCCUAUUCUUCCCUCCCUUCCCCCCCUCUUCCCCAUCCUCCUUCUUUUUUCUUUCCUUGUACCCCCACCUACGCACACUUUCUCUCAUACCAUCCUCAUUCCUACGACCAUAUCUCAUCUCUUAUUUUUUUACCUUUUUUUUGCUUCCAUUUCAUUUUUCUUCCCCCCCAUCUUCUACUGUCAGUUGUCACCAUCACCACUAUUGGCAACGUGACAUCGACGCCAUUUCCAACUGUUGGGGACCACCUUCCUUCCACCCAUUUCUCAUCUCAUCACUAUUUUUUUAUUUUUCUCUUUUCCUCUCAUUUUCUUUCAUUUCAUUUUUUUUCAUUUGUUUUAUUAUUUUGUUAUCCUUUCUCGACUCCACUACCAAUUUUUCUCACAUUUCCAUCAUGAUCUCCAAAAAAAAAAAAUAAUGGGCAAUUUAUUUAUGUUUUUCUUUGUUUUGUUUUGUUUUGUUUUUUUGUUUGUUACUUUGAAUUCAAUAGUAAUUGUUUGUGAAAAUUGGGUUAGUGAAUUAAAAUGAAAUUUGGUUGACGAAAUUUGUUAGAUUAGUUGAUAAUUUAUAUAAAUUAUUAUUUAAAUUAUUUAAUUUGGGCAUAAGGUAAUAUCGUGGUAUAUUUUUAUUACAUUUGUGUUUUACAUGUUAAAUUAGAUCGAUUUUGGUUAUGGAUUUGGGUUUGCAUAUUAAAUUAGACUUGGAAUAUUGGAUAUUAAAUUUUGGCUUAAUGAAAUUUACUUUGAUUUGUCAUAUUUUGGACUUGGUUGAUUGAGUUUAUAUUUUGAUUAUUAAUUUGAAAAUUUUGGACUAGGGCUUAUAGUAUAUAGGAUAUUUCUAUUGUGUUAUAUUUGUUAAUUUGGACUCAUUUUUAUUAGUGAAAUUUAUUGGACUAAUUUGAAGUUUGAAUUUGGGUUUAAAUAUUUGUUUUGAACUUCGUAUAUUUUUAGAUUAUUAUUUUUGGGUCAUUUUUAUUUUACAUAGGCUCAUUCCACCACUUACAUUGAUAUUUUGUUGGCCAAUAAUGGAUUUGUGAUGCAAAGAGGGUUGAAUUUCAUGGAGGAAAAGGAGGUUCAAGGAGAUAUUGAACUUGUUGUAAGCUUGUUAGGGUACACAUUUUAUUUCCUAUUUCUAUUUAAUUUUAUUUAUAUUGGUUUAUGUAAAUAUUCGUUUGGAUAUAUUUAUUGAGUGUAUACAAAAUUGAAUAUCAAACAAAUAAAUUUUUUUGUUUAAAUAAGAAGAAUAAUUCAGUAAAUACAUUUUAAUAAAAUAAUGGUUUUUUUUAAUAAAAGUUAAAAAAAAUGUUUUUUAGGAAAAUCCAAAAAAAAAUUGUUUUUAAGAAAAAUUUCAAAAAAUUGUUUUUAGUAACAAUUAUUUGAAAAUUUAUUUAUUUAAUAAAAAUUGUUCGAAAAGUUGUUUUUUAAAUAAAAUUGUCCAAAAAGUUAAUUUUUAAUAAAAUUGUCCAAAAAAUAUUUUUCAAAUAAAUUAUUUUUCUUUAAUUAAAAUAAGAUUAAAAGUAAUUUUCACGAAUAGGGGUCUUAGAGUUUUUUUAAAUAAGAAUUGGAUGAGUGUCAUUUUUACAAAUCAAAGUUGGAAAAAUCAUUUUUAUGAUAAAAUUGAAUUGAAAAUAUUUUCAUGAAUAAAGUUUAUAAAGAAAUUAAUUUUUUUAUAAAUAAAAAUCAAAUUGAGAUACUUUUGUAAAUAAAAUUGUAACAAUUCACUUCCUAACAAAGGUAAAUAACAAUCAUUUUCUUGUAAAUAAAAAUUAUUUUUAAUAAAUGUUUUUGAUAAAAUAAGUGUAAAUAAUUUUCUUGAAAAUAAAAUUUGAUGACAUGAAAAUGCAAUCAAAAUAAUUUGUUGCAAAUAAAUUUAAACUUUUUGUUUGUACAUAAUUAAAUUGAAAUCAUUCAUUCAACAUUAUUUUUUUAAUAAAACUCUUUGAAAUUUCUUGUUCUUAAUUUAAACAUUUUUUUAAUCAGUUUAAUAAUUCAAUUUGCAUUAUUCUCUUGUCAUUUAUUUUAUGUAUUUUUGUAAUUUCAUUUGCACUUAUUUUAUCAAAAUAAUUUUAUACAAAAUUUCAAUUUGGCAAUAAAAAUUAUUUUUACUUGCUUGUACUAAAAAAAAAAUGAUUUUUUACAACUUUAUUUUAAAAAGUCUUUCAAUUUAAUUUCUAUUUACAAAGAUGACUCUCAUCCUAUUCUCAUUAAAGGAUUAUUUAAUACAUUCAUUUACAAAAAUUACUUUAAUUUCGUUUUAAUUAAGUAAAUAGAGUUUUAAUUUAAAAAAACACUUUUUGGUCAAUUUUAUUAAAAACUAACUUUUGGGACAAUUUUAUUUAUAAAACAAUUUUUAGGGACAAUUUUUAUUAAACAAAUAAAUUUUCAGACAAUUAUUACUAUUUUUUUUUUUUCAUUAAAAACAAAUUUCCAAUUUUCUUAAAACCAUUUUUCUAAAUUUUUAUUAAAAAAAAUUUCUUUUAUUAAGAAUAAUAUUUUUUGAACUAUUAUUUUUAUUAAAAUAUAUUUACUGAAUUGUUCUUUUUAUUUAAACAAAAUUUAUAGUUUGUUCAAUAUUCAAUUCUAUACACAUUUAGUAAAUAUAAACAAAUAUAUUUACAGGAACCAAUAGAAAUAAAAUCAAAUAAAAGUGAGAAAUAAAACGUAUACCUCAAAAAGCAUACAAGUUUAAUGCCCUAUUUAGAGUUUUCUUGAGCCUCUUUUCCUUUCAUGAAAUUCAAUUUUCCAUGUCUCAUUGAUCCAUACUCAGCGAAAUUGACCCAUGCGAAACAAAAAUGAACCCAAAGGUAAAUAUAAAAAAAUAUACAAAGUCCAAAACAAAUAUUCAAACCCAAAUUCAAAGUUCAAAUUAGUCUAAUAAAUUUCACCAAUUAAAAUAGGUACAAAUUUCAUAUUAAUUCACUAACCUAAACCUCUCAAAUGAUUACUAUUAAAAUCAAAACAACAAACAAAAAUAAAUAUAUAUAAAAUAAAAUAAAACAAACAAAGAAAAACAUAAAUAACUUACCCAUUUUUUUUGGAGACCAUAAUGGAAAUGUGAGAAAGAUUGAUAGUGGAGUUGAGAGAGGGAAAAAAAAAAAUGAAAAAGAAUGAGAGAAAAAAAAGAGAGAAAUAGUGAUGAUGAGAAAUGGAUGGAAGGGGAGGUGGUCCCCAGUUGUCGGAGAUGGCGUUGUAGGUAGUGACAACGGUGACAACUAAUAGUGGAAGAUGGUGUGAUGAGUGGGAAAGGAAAGAAGGAAGAAAGAAGAAGAAAGAGAAAUAAAAGAGAAAAAAGGAAAGAAGGAAGAAGGGGACGAGGGGCGUGAAGUGUGGAGAAAGGAAGGAAGAAGAGAAGGAAAAAAUGGACCUCAUCACAAAUAGGGAUAAUAACUAAUAAUAUAUUCAUAAGGGUAGUUUAAUUGGUCAAGAUAAUGGUCUUGUAUUCGAAUUUUACCAUUGAUGAUACCUUGAAUUUAUUUGAUACGGGACAAUGAGCAUCUGAGGUUUGGGUUUCUAUUAAGAGUUUUAAGAGUUUGGUCAUGGAAGGUUCCUCCCCUAUUAAAAAAACAAAAUUCUAAAAAUAAUAAGUUAAAUAAAAAAUUGGUAGAGAGAGGCUCACGAAUGAGCAACCAUGGUGUGGCACUAGUAAAUAAACAUAUAGAAGUUUCAAAGGUUAAAGAGACAGAAUUAAUGGUCUUGCAUCCAAAAAUGCAAAAAACAAACAACUUGAAAUUCUAGAAGUGCCCCUCUAACGGUAGACUCAGAAUUCAGAAAGAAAAGUCUCUUCUCCACGUCUGUGACUCACCCUCACAUGGCAAACACAAAAUCAAGCUAAGAGUAUUUUCGUCUAUUCGUAAUUCCAACCAAUCUAAAGACAAGCGUGACGCAGCAGCCUCACAGCCAGGUAAUCCUAGUUGUGUGGGCCACCAUUUCUUUUCCUUCAAGAAAGAAAUCAGGCACGGACAGCCGACUUGCGGAUGACUCCGUCAGUGGUCCAUAUUAACGACGUCGUUUUCAAAGCACAGUUCUUCGUUUUCGCGAGUUAGGGUUUCUUCGAACCACAUCGGUGUGGCAUCAGAGUCCCAUCUCAUGAAAAUCGUAUCCAAUCCGCCUUUUCGGUCUUCAGAGGUAAAGAUUUUCCAUUCUAUACACUGAUGUUGGCACGAAAGUUCCGAUUUUUGUUUUUCUUCAAUUGUUCUAAAUUGAUUUUUUCGGUCUUUAGGGUUUUAUUGUCAUUCUAACUUUGAUUUCCCACUGGAUCUUGUUUUGGGUAGUUAUGGUUGUGAUCGGAGUUGAAUUUGAUCCAACGGCGUCUUUUAUGAGUUUUAAAACUGUUGAUUUCUUUUCUUCUAUUUUUUUUUGGUUUAAUUUGGGGAUUUUUGGCUAUAUUUUUAUCAGCGUCGUGAAAGAUCUUUUGACCAUGCAAUCUGCUUUAUGGUCUGUUUGGUUGCUAGGAAAUCUAAGGGAAAUCGAGGCUCUGUUUGUUUGACAGGAAAUUUUUCCCUAAGAAUGCAAAAUUUCGAAUAUAGAAGAGACUUUACCCCAGAAUUAAUUGGAGAUAAAUUGCUCACUUUUCCUCAAGCUUGGCAGGGAAAUAUCCAUUUUUUUGGGGAAAAAUUUCUGGUAGUUAUGUUUCCUUGAACAAUUGGAGCCAAGAGAUAAUUGAAUUCUGAAUAUUAUGUUUUAUGUUUUUUUGGGGUGGGUAUCUAUUUUUUUCGGUACAGUAGUUGAUGUUGAUUUUCGGGUUUACUUUGGGGAUUUCGUUUCAUGUUCAUCAGUGUAGUGAAAAAUCUGGUGAUCUUGCUAUUAGCUUUAUGGUCUGUUUGGUUUCCGAGAAAUCUAAUCUUUUGGUAGGAAAAUUUUCCCUAGGAAAGCUAUUUUCAAAUGUAGAAGAGACUUACUCCUAAAGGUAAUGGGAGAUAAAUGGGUAAUAUUUCCUCAAGCUAAGCAGGAGGGUAUCCAUUUUUGAAGGAGAUCUUCUGUGGGAAUCAUUUUUCCUUGAAGGGAUUGGAGCCAAGAGAGAUUGAAUUCUGAAUAUGGUGUGAGUGGUUUUGUUUUUUUUUUUUUUUUUAAUUUUUUUUUGUGUUAGGUAUUUUUUAAAAUUUUUGUUGAAUGCUGGAACUUGUAAUUGAAUGCUCUUGGCAAUCAAACUGGGAUUUAGAGGCAUUUUCUUUGUUGAUAAAAUAGAAACUGAAUUUUUUGGAGGCCAGACUUUGCUUUACUUUUCAAAUUGCAUCAGUUUCUUCAGGAGAAAUAAAAGUUUAGUAUUUUAUUCUUUUGUAUUAGGAGCAACUUCGUUUCCAACUGUAGAGUGACCAAGGAAACUGCUCUUCGUAUGGACUAUAUUGUGGUAAGGGAGAAGAUGAACAUGUACAGAAUGACAACUGAUUGUCAGGCCUUGGUAUGUGUGUUGUUUCCAUUUGUAUUAUUGUUGCUGGAGUGGACUCUUGAUCAUUAUGUUGCCAUAGGUAGUUGACAUGGGAAGUUGACAUUUGCAUUGAUUAAUAUUGUUCUCUCAGAGGCACACACUAUAAGUAAUGAUCAUGAUAAUACUUUUUUAAUCUGUACCUAUCCUUUGUUGUGCUACACUGCUACUACUUAAUGACUGCUUCUAUUUCCAUUCUGCUGCCAUGACAGCCUCAUUCCUAUACUAGUGCAUUAGCAUCUCUAGCACCACUCUGCUAACAUAUUAUUGCCAUCUCCCUAAAUCAUCAUUACUGCCUUCUUCACAAUGAUUGUACCCCCAGCCAUAGUUGUUAAAAACUUAUGAUACACGAAACGAUACAAUGAUAUCAUAUAUUUUUGUGGAAAUUGAUACAUACCACAAUCCAUAUCUUAUUUUAAAACAUAGUUUAUGAUAUAUUUACUAUACACAAUACGAUACGUGAUAUUUCGAUGCAAUGAUACAUAUAUCUUCAACUAUUUCUAUAAUUUUUUUUUUCAAAAAUCAAAUUUUAUUGUUAAAAGAAUUUAGUAUAUUAAUUGUUUAUAAUAUACUAAAAGAUUAAAAAUUGAUCAUAAAAAGAAGAAAUAGGUAAAAUAAUCUUAUUUGAAAAACUAUAUUCUUGUUGUCAAAUGCUAUAUAUAUAUAUAUAUAUAUAUAUAUAUUUUGAUAGGAAACUGUUGUCAAAUGCUAUAUUAGAAAUCAAGUAAGUUUAUUUUUACAGUUAAUAUUGAAGGAUUUUUAUUUGAAUGGUUUGAAUGUUAACAAUGAAAACGAUGGUGAUUAGUGAAAACAAUUUUUUACUUAAUAUAUUAGUUUUUAUUUAUUUAUUUAUUUUUGGUGGAAAAGGAAUGAUUAUGAACCUAAAAAAUUGGAACUUUGAAGAUGACAUAUAAAGGCACAUAUAUAUGUGUGUGUGUGUGUUAAUUAACAACACAAUAAGUGCAUAUGCCUAGUUAGAAUUUGGAACUAAAAAUCAUAGCUAAAAAUUGAAGAAGUUUAUUUAUUAUUGAUUUUGUGAUGAAUCAAUGUACUGAAGUGAUAUUUUGAUAAUUUGAACUUUUCAAAACUUUAACAUUCAAUGUUUAUGAUAUGAUAUAGUUUAACUCUUUAAAUUCUACUAUCUUUUAUAAAAUUGGUUAUUUAUUACUCUAUACUUCAUACUUUCAAUAGAUAUAUACAUAAAUACAUAUUUUGUUGAUUUAUUUUUUACCAUAUAAAAAAACUUAUGAUACAUGAUACAAUACAAUACAAAAUACAGAAAAAUAGAAAAAUGAUGUAUGAUAUAUUUUACAAGUUAACAACAAUGCCCCUAGCUCACAACCACUGCACUGCAAACUCACAUUCUGUCCCUUGUACAUAAUUUCUAUUCUCUGUUGGACUGGAUGUUGCCUGAUGUCUAUUUUUGGAUCAUGACUUCAUUACUUCAUGCAAAUAUAUUAUGCUUUCUCAUAAGGAAAAUGAUUUUGAUGUUAUUCCACAUACUUUAAGUGAUUAAUUUUCAUUGUCCAGGGGUAUUCAAUUAUCUUCGGCAUUGUGGUUUCUCUGAGAAUAGGUACCUGACUUUAGGAUUGUACAUUACAUUAGAUUUGAACUCGGGACUAAAUCUGUGCAUAGGGAUUCCUUAUAUACAUUGUAGAAAUGGAAGCGAAGUUUGAAAAGGUAUUGGAUACUAAUAGAAGACUUGUGGUCGGCUUGAAGAGGAAGCGGGUGGCUCAGUAUGCAGCAAGCUGGUCCCCCAUGCAUAAAAAUAAGCUCCGCAAGCAGAGAAAAUCAGAUGGGUGCAGAAUGAAUUCUGGGUCAAAUUUUGGAAAAACUUUACUUAAAUAUUAUUCAAAUUUUAUGAAAACUGAAUUGCCACAACGCAUAAUGUUUUAUUUGAAUGGUGAAUGGACUGAUUUCCCUGAAGAUCUUGUUGGCUUGGUGAAGAAAGAUUUUCAGGUAAAGAAGUCAUAUAUUGAGGUUGAGCUCAACAACAAUCACUUUAUGAUAGACUUUUUGCACAUGAAGCGAGUUGAUCUGAAGACAGGUAUGGAGAAACCAAUUGCUUGGAUUGAUGAAGCUGGUAACUGCUUCUUUCCAGAAAUUUUCUCUGGUGAUGCUGAAUCCCAUAACUGCUGUGGACAUGAAUGUGGCCAACAGCUUUUAUUUAGGGAGCCUUAUGGUUCCCAUGAUAUCAAACUGCAACUUGAGAUUGAUGUAAAUGACGCGGGUCACACCAACUUAAAGGAAUGUAGUGGAGAGUCAAAUCCUGUUAUUAAGCAUGUUCUCAUUGAUAAAAAUCCUGCUAGUGAUCAGAAUGACGUAGAAGUUGAGGAUAGUUGCAACAAAACAUCUGAUGCCAAAAUGGAUAAGGCUGUGGGAGAAAAUCAACAGAUGGAGGGAAAAUUAGUCACCAGGAUUGAAUCUGUGCAUGGAACUUUGAAGUUUGAUACUGUGCGGGAUAUGUUUAUUAGCAGCAUGAGCCCAUUUAUUAGUGCAAGUAUACUUGAGGUAUACCAGGGCUCAAGUUCUUCAAUGCAAGCUCGACUAGAGCUCUUUCAGAAGCAGGUUGAGAUCACCAGUAAGUAUCGCACUGAGGCAAAUGUUAGAUAUGCUUGGCUUGCUUCCUCUAAAGAAGCACUGUCUAGUAUCAUGAUGUAUGGGCUUGGGCACUAUGGAACAUCCCAAGAGAAGCUCACAUAUGGUAUUGGUGUUCAUCUCACAGCUGUGAACUUCCCGUACAUCAGGUUAGAAUUUUCUUUCCUGGUUUGUAAGUUCAAAUAUAUUAUAGAAGUUGCAAGUGUGACUGUAUAAUAACAAUUAACCUUUAUUUUGAAAAGAAAAUGACUUGAUCUUCUUUCUUUCCUAUAUAAAAAAAAUUGAUUUCCUCUUCUUAGGGAAGCAACUAUCUCCCCCAAAGAGAAGAUUACAACUUGAUUAAAGGGAAGACCAGAUGGAUCAAAGAUUUAUUUGCAUUAAUGUGUUUUGUGUUUGUGUGGAUCCUAGUGGAUUUCACACUCUAGCUAGCUAGUGCCUAUGCUGGAACCGAACAACUACUUUGUUCAAUCUUGAACACUCAAGGAAGAUAUUAGGGUCGGAGUAUUGCUGAAGUAUAGUGAGAUGGUAUACCUUUCUGGUAUGGUAAUCAAUCUUCAGUGAAUGGGCUAAUGUUACCUUAUCAGAAAUAGCAAUCUAAACAUAUAUGGGCUAUGGUCUGUUUGGGUCUUGUGCAUGGUUCAUUGUUGGACUAGGAUUGAACAAAGGUGGUCUAGCCCAUGUAGGUUGUCUUCUUUUCCACCAUUAUGUGGGUAGACCUAAGUAACUCCAUUGCUAAUUCAGUUCAUUGGUUAUUCAUUUCGUUUUUUGAUAUAAUUAUCAUUUUCUAGUAUAUUUUUGGUUUAAAUAUUUCAGAAAAUUAUUUUUUUGGAGCCUAAGGAAAUUGGUCCAACCCCAAUGUAGAAGAGAGGUAUACAAGGAGCACUAAUGCUAGAGAAAUAAGGUAAAACUACUACAACCACAAGGCAGGGCUCAAACCCCCUCCACAAUUGGGUCUGGUUGGCCAUAUGAGAUCUUACUAAUGAUGGGGAUAAGACCUUGCCCAAGUUCUUUGGUCUAAUAGAUUGGUGUCUUUGUUAUUACAAUCAUUAUUAUCAUUGUUAUUGUUAUUAUAUUAUUAUCAUUAUAUUGUUUUUUUUUUUUUUUUUUAAUAUGCUUUGGAGAAGGCUUCAGAUUUUGUUUUCUUGGCAGUGCAAAUUAUUGUGAUGUUGACGAAAAUGGUGUACAACACGUCGUAUUAUGUCGUGUUAUACUGGGAAAUAUGGAGCUUGUUCAUCUUGGAUCCAAACAAUGUUACCCCAGUUGUGAGGAUUUUGACAGUGGAGUUGAUGAUCUUCAAAAUCCGAGACAUUAUAUAGUCUGGAAUAUGAAUAUGAACACACACAUCUAUCCAGAAUUUGUUGUUAGUUUCAAGGUUUCUUCUAGUUCCAGUGCCGAAGGUGAUAUUUUAUCCCUGUGGGUUAUUUGUUUGGUUGGUGAUUAAAUUUAUUUAUUUUUUGUUGUUAAAUUUGCAUAAGAUCUGAUAUGCUCUAUGCUACGCAUGCCACUCAAUCAAUUUAUCAUGAGUUAGGUGGGUGAUUGGCAAAUUAAUUUGAAGGUCAUAGAUUAGCUAAUCUAUUUGAAAUGUGUAAUCUCCUUUCAAUCCUGGAUGCUGAAAGUUUAGAUUUUUAGGAAAUAGAGAUUUUGUUAAUUAAUGCUUCAAUUUUCAAUUUGUUUGUCUUACCGGCUUAAUACCAGCUUAAUUACUUUAAAGGGAUGAAACAUCAGUCUAACUUCUGGGUUCUGUACUGUUUAUACUUGUUUAUUGAUGCUUAAAGAAGGGUCUCUACAUGCAAAAGAUUUGAUAAAGCCAGCCCCAAGUUGGGAGAAGCAUCUUUAGUUAUGGUCUAGUGCUUUGGAACACCUUCAAUACUUGAGCUAAUAUUUGUCAUUGUUCCUACAGGAUAUCUAGUUGAAAAUGGGAGAAAGGAUGAUGUUUCAGGGUUUUCUCCUCCUCAAAGGCAGCCCGAAGGCCAGUUGCAGUUAGCCUCACAUCAUCCGGUUGGUUUGGUAAGUGUUCCACUUUAAAAUUUUAUUUGAGUUUUGUUCGUUGAAUUUUAUAUAAAAUUGCUCGUUCUGGGUGAAUACUCAGCACCAAACUUGCACCACAGAGGGCUUGCCUGGUUUUGACAUCUGAGCAAGUGGGUGUGGGUGGGUGAGAGCCAAUUCUUUUUCUGCAAUGGUUUGGAGAUUGUGAACAGUAAUUUAUUAACAUAUAAAAUUUGUGAAUCAAGCUUGCAUUAUUGGGGAAUCAUUUAUGAAAUCCCUAAAUAAAACACAAAAUAAUAAGCAAAGAUUGUUAUUGAAGGUUGAUUAGGAUGGAUGAGAGAAUUAAAAAUCUAUACUGUCCAUUUGGCAUGUUCCUGCUUGUGUGCAUUGUAUUUAUAUAGUUCCUAUUCUUCCGCCCUUCCUUUCUAAUUGUUAUGGUUGUAAUCUGUGAUUCACGCUGUUUUAACUGAUAGGAUACUGUUGUGACUUGUCGGUGUGUCAGACGGUUUGUAGAUUGUGAGUAGUAUAUUCAUUGCACAUAAAAUUUGCAUUUAAACUUGGACAACUGGGAAGCUGAAAAAAAGGUGAAACAAUAAGCAAAGGCUGCAAAUUACUAGAGAUUGAUCAGGAAUACUGAUUGUCUAUGAUAUAAUACUAUCUAUUAAGUGAGGUAUCUAUUUGUUCACCCCUUGGUCUUUACAAAAUCCCUAUCCUUGACAUGUUUAUAAUUCAUAUUUGAUACAUUCUAGAACUUGGAACAAAAACUCUUAAGAUGGCUGUCUAUCCUACAUGUGUUGGCCAUUCUUCUGCAAUUUCCACAUCCACAUCCUGCAAUUUGAAACUGCUGCCUCUUCCUUCUCUUUCUUUGUUAUUUUCAACUUUUUGCAAAAGAUCUUCAAUUCUGAUUCCUCACCCCCAAAUAUUCUUGUCUUCUAAGAAAUGGCUUUCAUGGGAUUUUAUUUUAUUUUUAUUUUCUUUUUUUGUGUGCAUUUGUGCUGUUGGUGAUGUGAUUUUCAUUUUUUUUUUCCAGAAUUUGUUCAGUAAAUCUGCUCUUACCUCAACAAGGUAUUUUCAUGUGUUGUGGAUAUUUCUAAAAGAAUAGAAAUUAUCUACAUCUUGCCUAUCGCCAAAAGAAAAAAAUUCUACAGCUUGUGUAUAUAUUUUUUCCCCAAAACAAUUGUCUAAUAUGAAAAAUUUGAAGUCUGCCAUGCAGCUCAAUUCUCAUCCUCCCUACCACAUGUUUUAUUUUUACUGUUAUGCAUUAGGUUAAGUCCUUGUCUUAACUUCUGUUGGGAGGGAAAUGUGUCCUUUUUAGGUGGGUGGGGGGGAGGAGGGUGUGGGUGAUUUUAUAUAGGGAAAGUGGGAUGGCUAUGUAAAACUCUGAAUACCAUAUUGGAGUCACAUGAAGGGCCCCAAGUUGAGUACCUGAGGAUAUGGUAGAAUAAAGGAUGAGAAUAUCGGUUUUUGCAGAAAUAUCGGGAAAUAUCAACAGAAAUUUGGACUAAAAAUAUUGAUAGUAUGAAAAUUGAUAAAAACUCAAAAUAUUGGGGAAAACUGCAAAAAAAGAUGAGAAAAACAAUAAUAAUAUAUAUUAAAUUUUUAUUGAAGAAAAUAAUAUAAGUUUAUAAUAUUCAGUAAUAAUAUGCAGAAUUUGAAAACACAUUCUUAAUACUAAAACGGUGAUGUAUUUAGUUCGAAUAUACUCAAGUAUAUGUAGAGAAAUGAUGAUAUAUGUAUAAAUGUUUUUUUUUUUUAAAUAUUGAAAAUAAUUAAGAUAUUGAUAAUUUUAUCAAGAAGUUCAUGUUGUCUUGUAUUUAAUUAUCAUACAAAAGAUAUAAUAAGAUAAUUAAAAUUAAUUUAUGAACAACAAUUUUAUUUUAAAUAAUAUAUAUUAUAAAUAAAUAUAUAUUGUAUGUAAUAUCUGCAUAAUAAAUGUGAAAACAAGUUGACCCAAGUGGUGAGGACCCUUUCUUUCAUGUGUGAUGACCUAUUCAAUCCCUGUUUCUUCUCUUAAUUUUUUUUUGUUUCUUUUUAAUGAUAACAAAUUGGCAUCCUACAUUGGAAAGCCAUAGUAAACAAUAGAGGUAUUUAAUAAGAUUUGCCACAUUCAAAGUCAAAAGCUGUCCUGGGUUGGCUUGCUUCCGUUGGUUCUCUUCAUACCUAAUCCAUUCUUCCACUUCAUGUGCUUUUUUAAAUGAACCACUGCUAGAAAAGUGGCUGAUGUGGCACUCAUGUAAAUGGAAAAAUGGCCUGCUUUGCUGCCUAUUUUUUUUUAUAGGUAAAUUAAGAGAAUAUAUUAAAGGCACUUGCAAAAUGGAACAACAAAGUACACACAAAGUAUACAAUUAAGGCCAAAAGGUGAGCAAGAGAAAGAAAGGAAAAUCAAACACCAACCACCUGAACAACUACCAUUCCCCUAGAGAGUUGGAUUGUUCUUAGCAGGAACUUCCAAAACCAAAGAACACCCCCAACCUACACCAACUAAAACACAAAAGAACACAAUCUCCCCCCCUAAACAAAACUGCAACCAUACUCCCUCAACCAAGCUGGUAACGAAAAAGCAACCUUACAAAACAAGUGCUGAAUCCCCACUGCUCCUCCCCCUCCCCCUAACAGUGAGUGGAGAACUAUUGUAAUUAAUCGAGUAUUCUAGUUUUUGGAUUUCCCUCUCAAACCAAGAUGACGAGAAAGGUUUCCUCUUUCCCCAUAAGACCUUAAUCACAUCCUUUUCUUGCCUCCAUUUUCCUUAGAAGGGAGCUGCUCUCCUUUUCAAAUCCUGCAAUUGGCAUGCCCACAAAGCUAUUGAAAUUAGCAAACUUACUAGGAAAGCUAUUAGGACUAGGGUCUCUCCCCCACCAAAACACAUCUGGACUCCAUGGCCUUACAAGGCUCCAACUCCUUGGCCUUGAUCACCAUUUUCUUACCCAAAGGACCCUUCGUAGGACUCCGUGGAAAAUCCAACAAACUGCCAUCUUGAAGCAUCAUCCUUAGCAGUCAACAUCCAAAUCCCAAAGGCCCCAAGGAAUACCCUGCCUUUGACUGAAUCGCUCACCCACUAUCAAGGACAAUCGACCCAACAGAAGAAAAAAGGGGAGAAGGGGGAGAUGAUGGCAUACCUUCAAAACAUGUCACUUCUACCAAGAGAGCUUUAUUGACUCUCGAAACCCGCUCUGUCAGACCCUAAAGCGUCACCUUUAGAAGGGGAUCAACGAAGGUUGCCAUGGAGCUGAGCUGUGCUGCCUAUAUAUCGGUGAAACGACUGCAUAAAUGGGUAUAUCACUGAUUAUUCAUUGAAAAAUUGCCUAUUUAAUGGAAAUUAUUACCCUGCCUUUGACUGAAUCGCUCACCCACUAUCAAGGACAAUCGGCCCAACAGAAGAAAAAAGGGGAGAAGGGGGAGAUGAUGGCAUACCUUCAAAACAUGUCACUUCUACCAAGAGAGCUUUAUUGACUCUCGAAACCCACUCUGUCAGACCCUAAAGCGUCACCUUUAGAAGGGGAUCAACGAAAGUUGCCAUGGAGCUGAGCUGUGCUGCCUAUAUAUCGGUGAAACGACUGCAUAAAUGGGUAUAUCACUGAUUAUUCAUUGAAAAAUUGCCUAUUUAAUGGAAAUUAUUGCACUUCGACAUAUCUCUAGUAUAUUCAUAUUGGAUGCUACUGAUAAGCGAUAUUUCCUGAAAAUAUCGCCAACAAAUUUUGAUUUUUUCAACCUUGGGUAGAAUAUGGCAAGGAUAAAGGAAAAAUAGCCUUUAAUCUAAGCCAUUUAGUUGAAUGCUUGACCUAUGUGGUUAAGCAUGAAGGGCAAAGUAUGAAUUGGACUGUGAGUAUAUGGCACUGUUGGAGGUCGGAUGCUUGUAAGAGAUUAUAUUGGCAAUGUUGGAGGAUUAACAGGUUGUUACUGGCACUGGAAAAGAGGUUUCCAAUGAGGGAUACCACAUAAAGAGGUCAUUAGAGGGUAGUGGUUUGAAUGAAGGUUACUGAAAACCAUGGUGUGGUUAGCAUCACAAGAUUGAUUAUUGUGCUGUACUCAUCAAUUUUGAAGGACAUUCAUAUGGAGCACAGUUUGUACAGUGUCAUAUCAUGCAGUACAUUAGAGGAUACUCAUAUCAUGAAGGUUUCCAAUGAGGGAUACCACAUAAAGAGGUCAUUAGAGGGUAGUGUAGUUAACCAGGGUAGUGGUUUGAAUGAAGGUUACUGAAAACCAUGGUGGUGUUAGUAUCACAAGAUUGAUUAUUGUGCUGUAGUCAUCAAUUUUGAAGGACAUUCACAUGGAGCGUAGUUUGUACAGUGUGUCAUACCAUGCAGUACAUUGUCUCAUAUUGCACCUCAGUUGCUUGGGUUGAUGAUUAGUGUUGCGAUUUGAAACCUGGAUUUUUGGUUUUCCAAAUGGAAAAAAGGGAAUUGAAGCAGCUGUACCUGAAGGUCUGUGCAACCAGCCAUAUACCUUGUCAAGGUUCAAUUCUUUUUUUAGUUUUUUUUUUCAGAAGAAAGGUUGAAGAAGUUAUUAUUGUAUGUAUGGUUCAACCUAUGGUACACUGUUGAAGAGCUUGCAUUGUAUCUAUUUGUGUGAUGUGCCCAAUUCCAGAGUAUGUACUUGUCUUAUUUUGUAUGUCUUGUCAAUGGUGUUUUCUUUUCCCAAGAAGAAAAGGAGGUUAGAGGUGCAGUGCAUCUCUUGCUAGGCUUUCCUUUGUUCCUUUUAAUGUCAAAAAAGAGUGAAGAGGGAGGUGGAGGGGGGAAGAACAGAGGGUUAUCCUGUAGCCAUAUUGCUGCUGUCUGGGUUAACUGGGCAGCAGGUCAAAAACCUUGUUUUUAAAGAAUUUAUGGUGGUCUUUUAGGACCUAUUAGGUUUAAAACAAACCUAAUCUAGCCUUUUUAGUGCUUUUGUCUUCUUUAGGGCUUUUCAUGCAUUAUGAAAAUUUUUAAGUUUCUCUAUCCAUAAAUCAAAUUCCACCUUGGGUUGAAAAUCUUCAAUCUGGGGUGAGGUGGAUUAGGUUUAGAUUGAUUUCCAUCCAGACCUAACCCACUGUACUUGCAGGCCUUGGGGAUAAGUGAUGGCAGUGGUGAACAGCUGAAAUUGCUGGUUGUAUGAGUAGUUAUGAUGAUCAUAGCAUUUUGUUUUUUAAUCAGAUAUGGUGGUCCAUGACAUUGAUCUACAUGUUCUUCAUACUUUCAUGUUCCCCUACCACUAGUAUGUUGACAUGGGAGUUAGAAUAGUAAUCAUAUCUGACAAUCUAGUGAAUCGCUGUUUGUGAUAUGACUUGUUCAUUUAAGGUUUACUUGUUCAUUUGUUGUAGAUAGCUAUGGUUUGUGCCUUUAUAUUAUUGCUGGAAAUUUGGUUUUUUAAUUGAUUGGUUGUUUAUAGGUCUGCGAUGACCAUCUUCACUGACUUCUGCUUGAAGCUUUUAGCAUUUUUAGUUGCUAGAGAAGCUUCACCACUUGCUUUUCUUUCAUUUUGGGUUGUUGUUUACUGUUAACAUUCUGCUAUUUCUUAGGGACCCCACUGCCCUCAAACUCCAGGUUUAGAGGGAUCUCUUGGAAAAGCUGCUACUUUUGGUUCAAGCACUGUAAAGGUUCCCAAAUCCCCUUGGAUGCCUUUCCCUAUGUUGUUUGCAGCUAUCUCAAAGAAGGUUCCUCUGAAAGAUAUGCAACUAGUUAAUGCUCAAUAUGAACAAUUUAGGGUAGGUUUUGUAACAUAUUAUUUGAUAAUUUCUAUGGUGUGUAUUUGUUGUAUAUUAUCUAAUGCUUGUAAUAUUCUCUUUUCUGAUAUUUUAUCAGACGAAAAAGAUAAAUCGGGCUGAUUUUGUUAAAAAGUUGAGAAUGAUAGUUGGAGACACUUUGUUGAGGUCCACAAUAACACAUCUUCAGUGCAAGGUAAGGUGUACGUUUUGUUUCUUUUGGUAUGGAGAUUUUUGGAUUGUCUGGGACUCUUUGUGAUUUAAUUAUGGGACAAUUGUCUUUUGGAGUCAGCUGGGCCCAAAAAUUAAGAUUUGACCCAUAAAAGUUGCAUAAUUGAUGGGGGGGAUAUAAAAUAUGAAGAGACCAAUAUAUCCUUUAAAACUAUUUUCUACCAUAAUGUUUGAGAAACUUUUUGAUCUUAAAAUUUUUUUUAAUAAUUAUUUUGAAAAUUUAUUAUUUUUAGAAAACUAAUUUAAAAAAAAAUAUAUUAUAAAAAUAUAUCAUUUAAAAAAAAUAAAUUUGACAUAUUUUUAGUUAUUUUUUAUAUACAUAAUUUUAAAAAUACAUAUUUUCUAAGAUGUUUGAUUUUUAAAUAAUAAUAAUUUAUUUUUAAUUUUUUGGAAAAUGGAGCAUUUUUUUCCAAAUCACUAAAUUAUAUUAAAUUUUAUUGAGGUUUGCAAAAGGAAUAAAAUUUAAAUUAAUGUUUUUCUAUUUUUUUUUUUCAUAGUCAAUAAAAGUCAUUUUUGGAAAGAUAAAAAAUUCUCAAUUUUCACACUUCCUCUAGGUCUUGUGCUUAAAUAGUGAACUUAAAUGGACCAAAGCUUAAUUUUUGGGCCCAACUAGGUCCAAAAGACAACUGUCCCUUUAAUUAUUACCUCUAUAGAAUUUACACUUUAUAAAUAUCAAGUUAGAUAAAUAAUGUGAAUAUCUAAGGCAUUGAAUUUUAUAUGUUCAUGGGGUAUUUUGGCUACUAAAUAUUUUGAGUUCAUAGAUAAUAGACUUCUUAGUUUAGAUGGCUAUAGGAUUGGAUGCUUGUAGAGUAGAACCUCGAUAAAUUGAUAUCCUCUAUUAAAUAACGUUUGUUGUCUAUACUGACAUGGGGGUAAUGUGCUAAACUAAUAAUAUGAUAAAUUUAUAAGAUAAUAAAUCAUAGAAAAAAAAAAUGUGUGGUUUCAUAUAGGGCCACUUACUACAUAAAUUAAUGAUUUCCUAAUAUGCAACUAAAUCCAUAUGAUUUGUGUAGGAGGCCUUUGUAAAAUAUGUGUGAAGUGUUGUUUGUUUAAACAAUGUAAUGAUAUAUUUUUGGAAAAAUAAAUACUUCUUUGUAAAAAUAAGUAGAUUCAUAAAUUUUACUUGUUUAAACAAAACACAUGGAAAAUAGUUAGUUUGUAAAAUGAAAUAUUUAAUUUACUUAAUUACAAUAAAACGUUAUAAAAUACAAUAUUUUGGAAAAAUGAUAUUAGUAAUUUAUGAAUUAAUCAAUAAAUUAAUAAAUCACUAAUUUACCGAUUAAUUAAUAUUAGCUUAAUCAAUAAAUUUUCCUUGGUCCCAAGGCUAUUAAUUUAUCAAGGUUUAACUGUAAUUGCUCAAUGUAUUAGCAAGCACUGCAUUCUCUUGUUCUAUGGAGAAGUCAUUUGUCACUUGCCUAGACUUAUCCUCUUCUGCUCUCUCUCUCAUUGCUUUGUACUUUGUGUUUUUCCGUGUCUCUUCCUAAGAACCUUCUAUAUUAGGUUGUCAAUUUAGAGGUAGGGAUGUGUGCUGUCCUGCUUAAGUUUUGAUUAACAACAAUCACAUCCUUGGAAAUCAUAUGAAUUUUGGUGGGAUGGCUUGAAGCAUUUGGAAGCAUUGUUUUCAUCCUUUAAUGUCUCCUUGGUGAUGGCUUUGUUGAUUAAUUAAUUUGAUAUUGUUUUUUGAAAACUUAUUUUGUUUUUGUUUGAAAUAUCAUGAAAACCUUAUGCCUGUUUGGUAGCAGAAAUGAAAACGAUUUUGUAAAAAUUUUUCUUCCAUUUUCAAAAAUGAUAAUGAUGAACGUAUUUGUUUUGGAUUGGUUUCAAUUGUUCAUUAGCUUUCGGAUCAAGUAAGACAUAGAUUUCAAUUGGUGAUUAUCGGACUAGUAUCUUCUAGGAAACAUUCUACUAAUUGAUUUGCAAAUAAGCUGAAUUUUAAGCUAUAAACAAGUGAUUUACAAAUGAACACUUAAUUUUACUCUGAAAUGAAGAUCUAACCACACAUUCUAAAUUAAAAUGCAGUAAUUAGAUUGGAUUACCUUUCAAUUACCGGGAAUUUUGUUGGUAAAGGAGAAGAUUGUGGCUCAUUUUGUCAUUAUUGUCUCAUCCUUUAUCAUUUAUGCAAGAGGAUUAUAUAAAAUGGUAACCUUCCAAUUUUGUUGGCUAUAGAGAAGAUUGGAGCUUACCAUGUUAUUACUUUCUUCUCCUCUUGUUGCAUUCUAAAAGAAUUAAGUAAAAUGGUAGCUCAAGGGAUUAGGAUUUCCAGGUUUUACCUAGUUAGGAUUUGCAUGCAUUACCUUGUUCAAGUGUGAGGUGCAACCCAAAACAUGCCCUUGAGCAAAGGGAGGAUCAACCUAGGGUGCAUGUGCUGUUCUAUAAAAUAUUUAAAUUUGGACAUGCAAACGGUUUCCAUUCGCGCCCAUAUCAUUAUUAAUGGUCCAAAAUCUUAAUCUAAGUAGUCUUAUCAAUAGAGUAGUGAGUGGAGGUUUUUUAUCUGGUUGUGGGGUAAAGGGAAGGGGUGGGGAUGGGGCUCAAAUCACUCACUUGUUGUUUGCAGGCUUCUCAAGAUCAGAUGACUUAUUUAAGCUGGUUGUUAAUAUGGUUUGAAGCCAUGUUAGGUUUGAGAAUCAACUUGGAUAAGAGUGAAAUUUUACUAGUGGGGGAGGGUAGAGAAUUUAGAGAUUUUGGCCCUUGAGCUUGGUUGCAAGGUGGGGGUGCUUCCUUCCACUUGGGACUUGCCUUGGGCGCUUCACAUAAAUCUGUGGCGGUUUGGGAUAGGGUGGAGGAGAGGUUUUGGAAGAGGCUAGCCAUGUGGAAAAGGUAGUUUAUUUCUAAAGGGGGGAUAAUCACUCUCAUUCGGAGCACUUUGUUUAGCAUUCCCAUUUACUUCAUGUCUUUGAUGUGUAUGCCAAGAGUGGUUAGAUUGAGACUAGAGUGGAUCCAAAGGACUUGGUUUGGGGCUGGGGGCCUCUAGAGAGGAAGCCUCAUCUUCUAAAGUGGGCGAUUGUUUGUUCAAAUAAAAGGAAGGGUGACUUGGAUGUUAGAUGUCUAUCUAUGCUCAAUAGGGCCCUCUUGUGUAAAUGGAGUUGGCACUUUGCGGUAGAAAGGGAGACUCUUUGGAAGCACGUUAUUGGUAGGAAGUUUGCGGUGGAAAAAGUGGGGUGGUGUGCCUGAGAAGUGAAGGAGGGGUAUGGUGUGGGGUUAUGGAAGGAAACCAAUAAGGGAAGGUUUUUAUUGCAUAAUAGAAUGGUGUUCUUUGUGGAGGAUGGUAGAAGAGUGAGAUUUUGGAAGGACAAGUGUGGGAAUGAUGCUUUGUGCGAUUCUUUCCCCUCUUUGUAUGCCUUAGCGGCUUCAAAAGAGGUGUGGGUGGCAAAGGUUUGGGACUCUAUGGGUGAGGAGGGGGGUUGGAAUCCCCGGUUCUCUAAGCCUUUCAAUGAUUGGGAGGUGGAGGUGGUGGAGAGGUUUCUUUUGAAAAUACAAGGGAAGGGGUUGAUAUCCGAUUUGGAGGAUAGGGUGUUAUGGAAAAAAACUAAGGAUGGAAAAUUUUCUGUUAAGUCCCUUUAUAGUGCUCUUGAGCUUAGAUAUGCAGUCCCGUUCCUCAGGAGCAUCAUUUGGAGCUCUUGUGUUCCUACGAAGGUGGGUUUUUUUCCUAGGGAAGCUUCGUGGGGUAAGGUUUUAACCUUAGAUCAACUAAAAAGGAGGGAGUGGUCCAUACCUAACAUAUGUUUCCUUUGUUGUGCUGAAGAAGUGUCCAUUGAUCAUAUUCUAAUCCAUUGCAUCUAAGGUGCUGUGGGAGUUAUUAUUUGCUCUAUUUGGGGUGAUGUGGGUCCUCCAUUUGUCAAUUAGAGAUACCCUUCUUGGUUGGCAUGAUUCUUUUAUGGGCAAAAAGUGUAGAAAGGUAUGGAGGGUUGCUCCCUUAUGUCUCUUUUGGUCAGUUUAGAAGGAAAGAAACAUGAUUACUUUUGAUAAUGAAGAGUUUUCAAUUCAAAGGAUGAAAAAUUCUUUUGUAUAUAAUUUGUGGUCUUGAACUAAGUUGUUUAUAGAUGAAGGUCCUUUACCUUUAAUCAACUUUUUUGAUUGGUUGAGUUCUAGAUGAGGGCGGAUGAGAUUUUUUUGUAUGCCCUCGUCUUUUUUGUUCUUGCCUUUAGGUGCCUCUUGUGUACUCCCUGUAUGCUUUAGGUUGGCCUUUGGGCACCCUUUACUCUUUUUAUAUAUAAUUUUUUUUUGUGCCUUUACCAAAAAAAAAAAAUCUUAAUUUAAAUAGCCAAAAAAAAAAAACAAAAGGAUUCCAAAAGCAAAAUAAAAUGUAAUGAUAUUUCACAAUAUAGUAAAAUUUUUUUAAGAAUAAAUGUUAAAAAAUAAUCUAUGUUUUAUUAUUUAGAUUGUGACUAACUUAUAUGCCUAAAAAAAAUAUAGGCACUUUUUGGGUGUUGAUCUUUUUCAACAUAAUGUCACCAAGUGUAACUAUUUUUGCAUUAUGAAUAGAUCAAGCACACUAGUUCAGCAACGGGUCUGCCUCAGUAAGUGAGGUGUUGUAUAUCACACCCUACUUGAAUCAUCCUUCACUUGAGCCACCUAAGUUUGUUGACAAAUAGCUAGGAUGUUGUAGUGCCUUGGGCCUAGGUGUGCCUUUUACAACUAUGGUUCCUCCCCAGUGAUCACAUAUAGCUGCACUAAUGUCAACUUAUUCUAGAUUGCUUAGAGAACAACUAACUAACAAAGUUAAAUUUAAGGUGGCUCACACUAGAAGAGGAACUUGCUUAAUUUGCAGCAUAAGGGUCUUUGCAGCUUAAAAGAAAAAUACUGCAUCCUGAAUUGCCUCUAAAUGGAAUAAAUUAUCUUGGAAAAUCUUGGAGUCACUCUCUAACCUGAUCACCCAAGAUAAGAUGAGCAUAGCCACAUGCCAAAUUAUCCCUUGGCAUCCAAAUUUGCACACCAGCAUAUUAGAAGGCUUAUUAGGUGGUACCCAUAUCAAGCCAACUAGUCAAAUUCCCAUGCUACUAAUGAAGGAAAAAUUCUAUGUUCUCGUUGCCAAGUCGAUGGUUGCUUCAGGCAAGAUAAUUAUUAUUCCACAUGUUAUCUGAUUUAUGAAAAUAAGUAAUUUCAGGGGGCCUCUCUAGGUCUAGCUUAGUGGUGGUACUCUUUGGUAACUGAUAGAGGUCCCCUAGCUCUAGUCUCAUUGAUAUAUAAUUGUCUGUGUAGUGUAGAUAGAUUUGAUUUUCUGGCAGUUGAGAUAAAGGCCUUUUGGGGUGGAUCACCCAUUUUUAGGGGGAAAAAUGUAAUUUUAAGGGAUCAUGCUUUUAAAUUAAACCCGAUACUCAACUAAGAAUGUUGCAUGUUCUUUUAUUCUUCACCCCUUUCUUUUGACAUCCAUCUCUUUUGGCAAGAGUGUUGAUCCCUUUUGAUGUGAAUGUAACCAAAUCCAUAAGUUGUAGGCUUUUCCAUAUAGUGUUAGUCUACCCUAUUUGAGCAUGGUUUGGCUAUUCAUCGAGUCCGUGGGGUAAAAUAACUAUCAAAUUUGGAAUGCUUUGGCGAUUCAUGGAGUCCAUGGAGCAAUGUCGAGAUGUUUUGAUGUCUUUUGGAUUGUCUUCCUUUUCCUUUGUUUUGAUCAGGUUAUGUAUUUAGGGAAGGAAUUUUCAUCCUUGUCUUGUUUACUGUUUUGAGGAAAAUGUUUUUCUUUCUGAUAAAAGGAAAAAAAAAAAAAAUUGCUGAGUCAAGGGGGGAAAUAACUGUCAAAUUUUGAGUAUGCUUUCCUGAUAUGACAAAUCAUAAAAUGGUUUUGGUGGAGUUGUAGAAUUUCUUUCCUCCUUUAACUUGCCUUUUGGUUUUGGACAAAUGAACACUAUUGAGGAUUUGUCCUCUAAAGCUUCUCCUAGCAUGUUGAAUCAUUUUCUAAUUUCUUGGACAUAAAAAUGAUGGUUCAGUAGUUCAAUAGAUGACAAGUUGGGAUCACUAUCACAUGUUAAUUUUAGAUGAUCUAUAUUGGGAUCAAGCAAUUUCUCUAACUAUUGAUAAAUCACAUGAUAUAGAUAGAAAAUAAUUUCUAAAAUAGAGUUGAAGCCUUGAAGGUAUGCCAUAUCAAACUUUGAUGGAUGGGUGCUGCAUUAUCAGUCUAACUAGUGAUAAAUCACAAACACAGAUGAAAAAUAAGUAGAUACCUUCUUUCUGAAACAGCUUAUUUCUAUAUUCCCCAGAUUUCAUAGCUAGAGUAAUUUCUUUCAAUGAUCUUGCUUCCUAUUGAAUAAAGUACUGCCACAGAAGGCAAGUAAGAAGUAAGAAUGUGACACUUCUUCCUUCUCCCUACCAAAAUAAUUUUGUUCCAGUGCUAUGCCAUUGCACACUAGAGAUAUUUGUUUAGUGACCCAUCGAUCACAUCACUAUUGUAUGCUCUCAUUCCAUCUGAAUGCCUCUCAUAUAUGGAAUCUACCUGUGGAGUUGGAUACUGAUAGGUAUCUAAUGGAGAAUUGUUAUUGAAUUUCAAGAAUUACAAGAAACAAAAGACCCAACUGAUACUCAGAUAGCUAUUCGAGAGGCUAUCACUCUCCUACCAGAUUCACAGAACAUCCAGUACUCACUAAUUCCCUCCUUUUUCCUAUUUAAACCAUCCCAGCCCAUAUCCAGAUUGUUACCUAGCCUAUACUAAGACUGUUACAACUAACUGCCAGGUGGCAGUACAUUUCUCUUCCCUUUUCUGGUAUACACAUAACGUAUAGGAGGCCUAUCAGAUACUUGAUGGUGGCCAUUGGUGCCCAAGAUAAAAACAAGAUACUAAAAACAAGAUAAAAACAUUUUAGGUUCCCAAACAAAUUUUUAUUCUAUAAAACAUUAGAGAACAGGUUUAAUAAAACAUUGUUUUAGAAAGCAGUUACCAAACAGGGCCAUAAUUCUCUAUUUUUAAAGACAAUUCUCUUGAGAAGUCCUUAUUUUUUUGUAUUUCUUUUAUAUGAUGUUUAUAGAGCACAAGUGAUUUCCUAUUUCCCUUCUAGUGGUAUUUGUAUAUGAGUAUUACUAGGGCAAAACAUGCUUGUGUAGAGCAUUUAUAAAUAGGAACUUUGAAAUACUAGCAUGCCCUUUUUAAAGUAGAGAAGAUAAGGAACGACCUCUUUCCAUGUAAGAUUGCAGUUUGGAUAUGAUUUCAGCAUCUAUACCUUGAUACUGAUGGAUUUCCCCAUGAAAUUUCAGUUGUUACUAUUUCAAUAUAUUUAUUAUGGUAAUUUUUCCCAAUUUGGGGAAUAUAC